AUUAGGGUUUGAUUAGGAUUUGAUUUAAGGUUUGGUUUAGGAUUUAGGAUUUGGACUAGAGUUUAGGAUUAGAUUAGGGUUUGGAUUAGGUUUUGGAUUAGGAUUUAGGGUUUGGAUUAGAGUUUGGACUAGGGUUUGGUUAGAGUUUGAUUUAAGGUUUGGUUUAGGGUUUAGGAUUUUGAUUAGAGUUUAGGGUUGGAUUAGGGUUUGGAUUAGGAUUUGGAUUAGGAUUUAGGAUUUGCUUAGGGUUUGAUUUAAGAUCUGGAUUAGGGUUUGGUUAGAAUUUGAUUUAAGGUUUGAUUUAGGGUUUAGGGUUGGAUUAGUGUUUGGUUUAGAGUUAUGGGUUUGGAAUAGGGUUUAAAUUAAGAUUUGUUUAGGAUUUGACUUAGGGUUUAGGAAUUUUUAGGAUUUAAGAUUUAAUUAGGUUUAGUCUAAAGUUGAGUGAAAUUCAAUAGGAUUUUAACUAGAAUUAAAUUAAGGUUGUAUUGACAUAUAUUUGAAUAAAAUUUGUGAUCAUUCUAAUAUUUCUUUAAGAAUUUAAUUAUUUUUUUGAAAUUUCUUAGAGUUGUUUUGAAUUUGAUUACGUUUGUUUACUAUUAUUGUAGUCUAAUUAGAACAUUGUUAGUAUUCUAUUUAGGAUUUUGUUAUCGCAAUUUCUAUUCUUCCUUCUAUAGCCAAGUGUCCAGAGCAUUCUCAAGCAAGACUUCACACAUUACGACAUCAUCAUUCAAGAAAAGAUAAAAACUACAAUAAGGCUGAACUUGAAAGAAGUGUACCAAUGAAUCUAACUUGCAUUCCUCGAGUUGGAUAGCUUCAAAGUUGAAGUUCAAUCACAAGUUGCACUUGAUUGAUAAAUCCUCAAAACUUGGAUCUGGUGCCAUCAAACUUCUCGGGUAGGGUAAUUCUUGGUUCUCUAACACUAGAAGGGCGUUCCACCAUAGGAGAAAAGACAUGGUUUGGUACAGAUAUUGAAGCAGCUCCAACCAUAUCUAUAUCUUCACUUCUUGCAAUUCUUGUUGCUCCUUGUGGUGGUAAAUUGAGUUGAUGCAUUGCAAGCAUUAACUCCCUCAAUUACUCUAGCAUUUGUGCCAUUGCAUUCUUCAUUUCAACAAGUUCUGUCAUAAUAACACUUAAAAAAGAGAAGAUAUCUAAUAUCGCUCAAGACAAAUAGAAGAGAGGACUUGAGAACAAAGAAAAUACUAAGCACAACAUCAGUUUAGAAGAGGGUAAUCCACAACUUCUAAUAUGCUUAUAUCUUAUCAAGAAAAAGGAGUAAUCCACUCUUCAUCAAGAUUAGACAAAGCUCUGAUAUUGUAGGUGUACUCUUAUCAAUCUGUCAAGGAUAAGAACUCGAUGAAAAAACAAUCCACACAACUGAGCCAUCAUUCAAAAAAGAUGAAAAAAUAUAAAUAAAUAAGUAUGUAUAUUGAAAGAGAAACUAGAAUGGCUAUUACUAAAAGACAAGAAAACUAAAGACCCUUGAAACUAGACUAGAAGCAAGAAAGGAGUUGACAAGAGUGAAGAAGGCUUCACUCUUGUCUCUAUAUAUACUAUCUAAUUAGAGGCUAUGUGGCGACAUUCUAUAGGACCUCCAAUAUGUGUUGACUUUGUAGGACACAUGCCUUGACUUACAUGGCAAGUUUUUCUACGUGUGGGCCACAUAGUUAGCUUAAUCUUCAAGCUAACAAAAUGUGUGGUAUAUGGCCAACUUGUUGACCACGUUUCUAAUCCAAAAAGUCAAUAAAAGACAUCUAUAAAGUCAAAGCAGUGUCUAAAGAGCUUCUAGGAAGCUUCCAUAUUAAAUACUAUAGAAUUAACUUACUCUUACCUACUUUUACUUACUUCUACCUAUUUGUAUAAGUAAUUAUUAAAUUACAUGAGAAUGUCCGUGACACUUUGUUAGACUUAAGAGCCUCAAACUAUUUUAUAAACAAAGAUUUUAUUAAAAAAUAAGAAAUAUCAUUAGUUAAAAGAACUAAUCUUAUACAUAUAGAAAGUGAUAGAUGAUUGUUUGCUAUUUUUUGGAGAUGUUAUAUAUGACACUCUUUCAUUAGAUGUACCAAUUAAAGAUCAUAAUAGCAUAGUAAUAUUUAAUAUAAUAAGAGCUUUGUUUAAUUUGAUUAUUUUAGGAUUAUCUUGGUUAGAAUAAUAUAAUCCUCAAAUAGAUUAGACUUUUUGUAACCUUAAUUUUUUUGAUAGUUUAAUCUAAAAUUCCAUUAGUUAAGUAAAAAUACAUAAGUUUAAUAGAACCAAAUCUUUAUUAAUAGGUGCCAGAGCUUUUACACAUGUUGCAAAAAAAAGGAAUUUCUUUUGUUUUAUAUACCAUGCCUAUUUUUGAUAGUGAGAAGACAUGAAGUAAUAUCCCUAGCCAAUAUCAACAUUUCUAAGAUAUUUCUUUAAAAAAUAAUGUAGAUAUUCUUCCAGAGCAUUGUCCUUAUGAUUGUUCCAUCAAUCAAAACCAAGUUAAAGAAUAGCAAAUCUUUGCUAUAAAAGAGACAAGAUCAAAGAAAGAUAAUACUCUACCUUCUAUCCCUCUUUGUAGCUUCUAUGUAUUUGUGAUACUAAAGAAACGGAAAACCAAUAGCCAAUAGAUUCAACUCAAGAGCUUUUAUUUGCGGACUUAUCAAACAAGACAUUGCAAUUGUCACAAUCUUCUAGACGACAAAAUUGAAAUGAAGAUCUUCAAGAAUGAUAUAUCCUUCCUCAAAUAGAUGGUGAGAUAUAACGUAUUUGGUAUCACAACCUUGAAAGAGACUCUUGAUGUUUGGUGAUUUUAUUAGAGGUAGGAACAACUCUUGACAGUGUUCCAAAUGUUGUAUUUGAAGGAAGUUACAAAGGCCUCAGUAACAACCAAAUAAGAGGGUGGUCUUCUCAUCAUAGUAUAGGAUACUAUGGAUGGUUGAAAAGACCUAUCAACCAUCUUCAAAGAGAACAAAGAUCAGAGUAUGGAGCAAAUAUAAUUCACCGCAUCUUGGAUUUUUUCAACAUAUGAAGAUCGCUUUUCAUAGAACUUGUUCCUACAAUGCGAGUAAUGUCACGGAUAUACAUAUGUAUUCUAAUAAAUACUUAUAUGAUUGAGAGAAGUAGGUAAAAGUAGAUAAAAAUGGAUUAAUUUCAUAAUAUCUUCUAAAGAAGCUUCUUAAAAGCUUUAUAGAUGUUGCUUUGAUUUAAUAUGUAUUUUGUAGUUGAUUGAUAGGCUAAAAACUUGGUCAAUAAGUUAACCACAUGUUAAUAGCUUGCGGAGCAAACUAAUUAUGUGGCGCACAUAUAAAAAACCUGCCUUACAAGUUAAGAUACGUGUCUUGCAAAGUUAACAUGUUUUGGAGGUCUUACAGGACAUCGCUAUGUAGCUCCUAGUUAAGAGUAUAUAUGGAGGUAAGAGUGAAGCCUUCAUCACUCUUGUCAACAUCUUUCUAGUCCUUAGUCUUGUUUCAAGACUUUCUAAUGUCCUUGUUUUUGACAAUUGUCAUUCUAGUUCAAUAAUAUAUCAUCUUUGAGUGGCUUUUUAGUUCUUUUCAAUGUCGCAAGAGUGUAUUGAGGAUUUCUUUCUUUGAGAUUCAUGUCCUUGAUACCUAACUAUUCUUAUCUAGAUAAUUAAAUAUGUCUAUGAACCUUUGCUUUGUUUCUUAUUCUUCUAUACUUAUAAAGAAUAAUUUUGGUUAUCCUAAUAAAUUGGUUAUACAAGCCUAAUUUUAUAUAUUAUUUUAAUAUAUGUAUUUGAUUUAUUUAUUUUUUAAAAAAAUAGCUAAUAGAAAUAAUCUAAUUUAUACUUUUUGAAGUCACAAAUUUAUCAUGUAUCUUGUAUUUUAAUGGAUGAAACCUUCUUUGAUAUUGAUUUUUUAUUUUUAUUUUAAUUUUUAAUUUUUAAUUUUGUUUUAAAGUAUCUUGUCAUGAAUGUAAUGAUGUCUCAACUAAUAAAAUGGAUUGCCAAUUGUUAAAGGUAUUUCCCUCUCUAAUUUUGCAAAUAAGUAAAAUAUUUCUAUUUAUAGGAGUAUUUAAUUUUAUACUAUUGGUUGCCACAUUAUUAUUAAAAAGAUUUAUGGAAAAGCAAUAGAAAAUUAUAUUUGCAAGAAUUUAAUAAAAUUUUAUAUUACGUCAAGAAUACAAAUUCAACAAAUCUAAUACUACGACAUCAACAUCAAUUCUUUCAACAAUUGUUGAUGAAUAAUAUGAUUAAACCAUUAAACUUUGGACAUGGAAAUUUAAAUAUUAUUUGAUCUACUUUAAUUGCUACAAUUAUUAUGGAGGAAAAACGUAUAUAUUUUAGGAGCAAUUUCAACAUUGUUAUGAUGUUUGAUUCAUGUUGUUCUUAUUGUUGCUUGCAAGUUUGGUCAAACAAGUAUAUUUUUUUACGUUGUUCUUGGAUUUGUUUUAGAACCAAGAUGAUGAAAAUGAGGGGGGUGGAAGAUGUUUGUAAUGUGAGGUGGAUGUGUGGAAGAGUGAAGGGAUAUUAUUGGAGAUAUGAUUGGAGCUUGGGUGAGAAGACGAAGGAAUGGGGUGAGGCGAGAGAAAGUGGUGUGGUGGAAAAGCGGGGUGACGAGAACUUGAUGCGUGCGCGCCGUGGAGGUGGGUGGGCGAGGAGAAAGAAGGAGAUGGAGAAGGAAAAAGGAGAAGGAAAAAGGAGAUGGAAAAGAAGGGCGUGGAUGAACAAAAGCAGUGCACCGGCCGGGAAUCGAACCCGGGUCUGUACCGUGGCAGGGUACUAUUCUACCACUAGACCACCGGUGCUAGCCUGUUAGCUGCGGUCGCCGCCGCGCCGCUGCCGGGGAUCGAACCCGGGUCACCCGCGUGACAGGCGGGAAUACUUACCACUAUACUACAACGACUGCCGAUCAGCGGACGACUCACGGCCCCUCCUGGGACCCGGAUGAGCGAAGCCGUUUUCACACCACACAUACCACAAUGCGGUCUUCUUCUUCUUCUUCUUCUUCUUCUUCCCGCACCGACCCCACCCCCAGGUAGUAAGUAAGUAUCCUCCUCGACUGCCGUGCAGCUACCUCACCACCACGCCGCACCACGCGGCCUCUCCUCACCUCACCUUACCUCCAGGCCACGGCCCCUUUCUUCGUUCAUUCGUUCCCUCGUUCGUUCCUUCGUUCCUUCGUUCCUUCGUUUGUGCGGGCCAUCUCCCACUCCAUGCCGGGCUCCUCCACCAUCUUCGUUUCAUGCAUCCUACUCCUCACCCCCCUUUUAUCUACCAAAUUUUAUUAUGCAAUUUACUUAUUUUUUUUAAAUUUUUUUUAUUGAUAUUUUUCAACAUCAAGGAUUGUUUUUGAAUUCUUUAAACCCUUACCACUACUAAUAAAAUACAUUUUUUUUUAAAUUAUUAUUUUCGGUUUUUUAUUUUCAUGACAUGGUAUUCAUCAUUUUUUUUUAAUAUUGGAUUAAAUAAUAUAGAAGAAUAAUUCUAUAUUAUAGGUGUAGUCUUUUUUCUUUAUUAUAGAACUAAAUUAUAAAAUUUUAUAAUGUACAUGUUACAAAUUUAUCCAAAACAAUAUUUAAGUAAUUACAAUUGCUUUAAGAAGGUCAACUUGAAUUUUACAAUAUCAAAGUUUAGAAACAAAAAUUACAAUGGCGUCUUGUGACUUCUACAAAUAUAUGUAAUAAUACAACCAUUAUUUGGUGUAUGAUCUAUUUUAUUUGCAAUAUAUUUUCUAUCAAUUAAACUAAAAACUUUAAGAUGUGUAAUUUUAAAUACAAAAAUAAUGCUUUUAUUUUUCAUAAAAUAAUUUUUAUUACAUUUUUUGUACCUAUGCAUAGAAUAAAUACAUUUGAUAUACAUGGAUUGCAAAAUGGUAUUAAACUAUAAAUUUUUGUAUCAUAAGUUUUACAAAAUUUGAGAAGUUUUAUAAAUUCUAUUUUUAAAUAAUUUUCUAAAAUUUUAGUUGACAUGCUUUUAAAAGUAAAAUUUCUAUUUUAAUUUAUAAAACUUUAGAAUACAAUUAGCAUUCAUAUUUUAUAUUUUUAUACAUAGGAUUCUUUUUUUUUUCUUUAUUUUGGAACCCUUUGUAAGUAUGAUUAUGACAUUAAUUUAAAUAUUCUAGUUAUUUUUUGAUUGAUGGUGUUUUCAUUUAUUAUCUACAACACAAAACAAAACUAAACAUUGUAUUAAAGGAUUUAGCUUGUAUUAGAAGAAUCUUCUAUAUAUUGCACUAAACUGUUAUUAAAUUGAGAUAGAUUCAAAAAACCAAAAAAAGAAUUCUAGUUCAACAUUAAAUUUUAGAGAAUCAAUUUCUCUAAUACUAAAUAAGAUUGUAGAAUUGGACUUUUGUACAACAUCAUUUUAUAAAGGCCAUAUAUUUUUUUGGCCAACUAUGUCCACCAUAAUAGAACCAAUUCCAAUAGCUUUACAUAUAUUAGUAUCCUCCAAAAUUGCAUUUGAUGCUGAAAUAGCCUCAUAAGUGUCAAAUGAAUACUUAUAAGUGUCAAGGACAAGAACUGGAUGAAAAAGUAAUUCAGACAAGUGAACCCUCACUCAAAGAAAGAUAACAAAAUAUAAAUAAAUAAGUAUGUAUAUUGAAAGAGAAACUGGAAUGGCUAAUGCCAAAAGACAAGAAAACUAGAGACUCUUGAAACUAGACUAGAAGCAAGAAAGGAGUUGACAAGAGUGAAGAAGCCUUCCCUCUUGUCUCUAUAUAUACUAUCUAACUAGGGGCUACGUGGCGAUGUUCUAUAGGACCUCCUAUAUGUGUUGACUUUGUAGGACACAUUCCUUGACUUACAAGGCAAGUUUUUCUAUGUGUGGGCCUUAUAGUUAGCUUGAUCUUCAAGCUAACAACAUGUGUGGCACAUGGCCAACUUGUUGACCACGUUUCUAAUCCAAAAAGUCAAUUAAAGACACCUAUGAAGUCAAAGCAACAUCUAAGAAGUUUCUAGGAAGCUUCCAUAUUAAAUAUUAUAGAAUUAAUUUACUUUUAUCUACUUUUACUUACUUCUACCUAUUUCUAUAUGUAAUUAUUAGCUUACAUGAUUAUGGCCGUGACAUUACUCCCCCCUUCUAGGGACGAGUUCCAUGAGGAGCGGUCAUCAUAUGUUGAGAAAAUCUAUGAUGUGACGAAUUGUAUUCGCCACAUACUCUGAUCUCUGUUCUCUUCGAAGAUGAUUGAUAGGGCCUCUCAAAAAUCGGUAGUGUCCCAUACCAGGGCGGGAAGACCACCAAGUUAUUUGAUCAUUGUUGAGGCCUUCGUAACUUCCUUCGAAUAGAAUAUUUGGAACACCAUCAGGAGUUGUUCCUACUUCUAGCACAAUCACCAAACAUCAGGAGUCCCUUCCCAAAUUGUGAUACCAAACGCGUUGUAUCUCGCCAUCUAUUCGAGGAAGAAAAUGUCGUUCUUGAAGAUCUUCAUCUCGAUUGCGUCGUCUUGAAGGUUGUGACAAUCGUAACGUCUCGUCUGGUAGGUCAGCAAAUGAAGGCUCUUGAGUUGAAUUCGCUGGUUGUUGGUUCUCCAUCUCCUAAGCGCCACUAUUACAACGAAGCUAUGAACAAGAAUUGAAAGUAGAAAGUUAACUUGCCUAGAUGUUGUUUCUUUUAUAAAGAAGGUUUUCAUCUUGAUUUUGAUGGAUGUCGUCGAUGAAAAGCCUCCACCGCCUUUGAUGCAUUUGCAAGAUUCUUUAUUGGCUCCCAUGUGCGUUCACUAAUACCAUAUCCGCACCAAUGGACAAGAUAUUCUAAUCUAUUUCAGCGUCGCCUUGAAUCUAAGACUUUUUCUAUUUCAAACUCUUCAUUAUUGUCCACUUCUAUAGGAGGAGGUGGAGUUUGUCAUCUUCUUGGUAUGUCCACUGUCUUGUAUGGUUUAAGAAGAGACACGUGGAAUACUAGAUGGAUUUUCAUUGACUCCGGUAGAUGUAAAUGAUAUGUAACUGGAUUGAUUUGUGCAGAAAUAGAAAAUGGUCCCAGCCUUCAAUAGUCCAACUUGUCACAAGGACGAGUGGUCUUGAUAAUGCGAUGAAGUAGCCAUACUUUAUCACCCAAGACGAAUGAUGGUUGUUCCUUUCAAUAGACAUCCGCAUUGGCCAUUUGUUGUUCUUGAGCCUCUUUUAACUGCACCUUCAUCGUUGCAUGUAGCUCUCAUAAAUGAAUUGCCAAAUCUUUUGUAGUAGGAUUAUCAACUUUUGAAAAGUCAAAAGUAUCAAGUCGUGGACGAUAACCAUAAUUAGCAAAGAAAGGUGUUUGUUUUGUAGAAGAGUGUACCGUGUUAUUGUAAGCAUACUCUGCCAAUGGCAAAAGAGUUGUCCAAUCAUCUUGUUGGUAAUUAAUGGUACAUCUUAAAUAUUGCUCCAAAACUUGAUUAACACGCUCCAUUUGUCCAUCAGUUUGAGGAUGGAAAGCCGAAGAUAGUUUUAUAUCCACUUUAAGAAUCUUGAAAAGAGUCCGCCAAAAUCUUGAUACAAAUUGAGUUCCCCUAUCUGAUAUAAUAUCCUUGGGUAAUCUACAAUAGUGAUAGAUAUUGUCAAGAAAGAGCUUAGCUGUUUCUUCACUUGUGAUAGAUUUUGUACAUGUUACAAAAUGUGCCAUCUUGGUAAAACGAUCUACUUUCACGAAUAUAGAGUCAAAAAAACCUGAGAUUGGAAGAUCUAUGAUAAAGUCCAUAGAAAUAGAAGACCAUGAUUGUUUUGGAAUGGGUAAUGGCUGAAGAAGUUCAAAAGGUCGUUGACAAGGAGUUUUCGAUCUUGAGCAAAUAUUACAUGAUUGUACAAAAUCUUUAAUUGCCUUCCACAUUUGAGGCCACCAAAACUCCCUAGAUAUCAGUUCUAAAGUCUUAUUAUUUCCAAAAUAUCCUGCUACUGGGGAGUCGUGACGAGCUUGAAGAACAUGUAAACGUGCUUCUCCUUCUUGAAUAUAUAGGCGUUCUUCGUAAUAGAGUAGGUUGUUCUUGAAUUCAAAUUUAGAUGGAUCAUGAGAUUUAGAAGAAUUGUUCUUGAUAUCAUGAACAAGAGGGUUUGAAGACAUACUUAACUAGACUUGCUUAAGAAAAGUUAAAUCAACAGUCAAUGUUGAUUUUAUUGCUCGAAGAAGAAAUUAUUCCGGCUCCAAAAGAACCGUUCUUUAUUGCUCAAAAGCUGCAUCUGCUUCUUUUGGUACAAGAUAAGAACGUCUAGACAAGGCAUCGGACAAACCUUGUUGUUUUCAUGGUCGAUAAGUGAUGAUAAACUCGAAUCUUGAUAAAGACAUGCUCCAACGAGCUUGGCGAAGAUUUAAUACGCGUGUUGACAUAAAAUAUUUGAGAUUCUUGUGAUCCGUAUACACGGUGACUGGACUAGAAGCACCUUCUAGAUAAUGAUGCCAUUCUUGAAAAGAAUCCACAAUUGCAAGAAGUUCUUUGUCGUGGAUCUCAUAAUUGAUUGCUGCUGCUGAGAAUUUUCUUGAAUGAAAGGCUACUGGAUGAAGUUUGUCAUCUGUUCCCAUUUGUGAUAAAAUCGCACCUAGAGCAAAGUCCGAUGCAUUUGUUUCCGUAAAGAAUGCUUUGAAAAAAUUAACACAAUAUAAGAUUGGUGCAUAAACAAACGAUGUCUUCAAAGAUUCAAAAGUAACUUUCGCUUCUUGAUUCCAUUGGAGUUUGUCUUUACAAGUCAAACGUGUAAGUGGAGCUGCAACUCGACAGAAGUCUUUGAUGAAGAUCCGAUAGUAGUUGGCAAAUUCCAAAAAACAUUGGACAUCUCUUAUCGUUUUUGGGAUCUUCCAGUCUAUAAUAGUUUGAACUUUCUUAGGAUCCAUCAUAAGUCCAUCAUUUGAAAUGAUGUAACCAAAGAAAUUGACUUGAGUAGUGUGGAAUAGACACUUUUCUAUCUUGGCAUAGAGUCCUGCAUCUCUUAAUUUUUGUAAUAUAUGACGAAUAUGAAGUUCAUGUUCUUCUGAAUUCUUAGAAUAGAUCAAGAUGUCGUCUAGAUAAUAGACCACAAAAUCGUCCAAAAACUCUCAAAAAGCAUCAUUCAUUAGAUGUUGAAAAGCUGUUGGUGCAUUUGUAAGUCCAAAAGGCAUGACGUUGUAUUCAAAAUGUCCAUACCUAGUUCGAAAUGCAGUCUUCCAUUCAUCUCCUUCUUUGAUGCAUACUAGUUUGUAUGCUCUCCGAAGAUCUAUUUUUGUAUAGAUCUUAGCUUGAUUCAACUGAUCAAGAACUCCAGAUAUUAAAGAUAGUGGAUACCUAUUUUUGAUGGUAAUCUUGUUGAGUCCUCGAUAAUCAACACACAUCUGCAAUGAUCCAUUGUUUUUCUUCACAAAUAGAAUUGGAGCUCCUGGCGGAGAUUUAGAAUGGCGUAUGAAGUUCUUGGCUAGAUUUUCUUCAAUAUACUCCUUGAGUUCAGCCAAUUCAUUUUGUGAUAAAUUGUAGAUUGGUCCGAAUGGCGGUUGUGCUCCUUCUUGAAGGUCAAUUGAGCAAUCAUAGAGACGAUGUUCCGGGAGUGUAUCUGCAUUCUUUAUUUCAAAUACAUCUUGAAAUUCUUGAUAUUGGCUUGGAAUGCCACUUGAAGUCUUUUCACCAGUAGGAACGGAUGUAGCAUAAAUAAUGUAUGGUGAUUCUUUCAUAGCAGCAUGCAAGAAAGCUUUUGCACCUAUAAAUACGGAUUUAAUUGAACUAGACUUAUGACUCUCUACUUGCUUAACUACAUUAUUAGUUAUACUUUUAGAGAAAGUGAGAGUUCGAGAAAUCCAGUCUAUUUGAGGGUUGUAUUUUUUUAACCACGAUAAACCUAAAAUGACUGGAUUAGACGGAGAUCUAAUGAUAUUAAAUACUACAAAACUAUUAUGACCAUUGAUUAUUACUUCUGUAGGAAGGGUUUCGUGAGUAAUAUCUCUAGAAGACAAUAGAUGACCAUCUAUGACUUCUAUAUGAACAGGUUUAGUUUUCUUUACUAAAGAUAUGCUAUAUCUUUUAGUAAAUUCUUCAUCUAAAAAACACACUGAGGCUCCUGAAUCUAACAAGGCAGAGAUUUUGUAAUGUUUAGGUUCUAAAAUAACAUUUAAUGUAAAACAAGGAGAGGGCUCUGAGGAGAGAAUAGGACCUUUAUUAGAUGUUGUGCAAGGUUCCAGCCACACGGUCCCUAUUGUAGCUGGACAAACUCGUUUUCCGACAUAUUAUCUUCUUUCACAGCCAUACUUCUCAUUUUGUGAUUGCAUCAUUUCUGUGGACAAUGUUGAGCAGUGUGCUUUGGUUCUCUAUAAUAUAAACAUAAUCCUUUUUGACGACGACGAGUCUUUUCUUGCUCAGUAAGAGGUUUGAAACGUAGUGCAUCAAUUUGCAUAUCCUGUACUAUUUAAAUCUUAAAUCCUAAAUGAGUUCAAAUAAAAUCCUAAAUCCUAUAUCAAAUCCUGAUCAAAUCCUAAUCAAAUCUUAAAUCCUAAUCAAAUCCUAAAUCUGGAACCAAACCCUAAUCCUAAAUCAAAUCCUAACCAAUUUCUAUCCCUAAUCCUAAAUCCUAAACCAAACUCUAAUCCUAAAUCAAAUCCUAAUCAUAUCUUAAUCUUAAAUCAAAUCCUAAUCAAAUCCUAAUCCUAAUCCUAAAUCCUUAACCAAAUCUUAAUCAAAUCCUAACUCUAAAUCAAACCCUAACCAAAUCCUAAUCCUAAAUCAAAUCCUAACCAAAUCCAAGUAAUUUCUACAACAAAAGUAAACUUCAAGAACUAAUGAAGGAACUGUUAAUCUUUAUUCAAAUUUUUCACACUUCUUAAAAACUACGUUAGAAACAAAUACAAAAUUAUUGAAAAUGAUCGAAAUUACCAAAUAGACGAUAACCUCAAAAAUGAGCUUGGGUAUCGGUUGGCCUCCUUCUCCAACCUUGAUAUCAAUCUCCCAAAGCUAAUAUCUCUUCUUUUCACCAUUCGAUUGAUUUCAAAAUUCUCAUACACAUAGAAAAAUAAGUCUAAUAUCCUCUUACAUAAAUUCUACUCCAAUCCAACUAGUAAAUUGCAAGAAAUCUUUAAAAUCCUCACUAGACCUAGAAUUCUACUUUUUGAGACCUUAAUUCUCUUAAACCUCAAUAAUCCUCAAUUCAACCAUAAGAUCGAGUUAAGAUUCACAACACAUAUUAAGCACAACUAUGACCAUUAAUCCACAAAAUUUCACCCAUAGGUCUAUCACAAAACUCUUGAAAUCACUAGAAACAUCAACCCUAUUUUAUUUCACAAACUCCAAAUCAUCAGAAAACAAUCUUGACUUUGUAAAGUUCUUACAAAGUCAUAAAAAGUCCAAAUUGCCUAAAACCAAUGCUUAUAGAAAUCUUAUCCAAUGUGCUAUCAAAUCCCACUUUCCGAUUUACAAAAACACCUUCGAGUUGUCGUAGGUGCUCGGUUUUAUGACUUAGGAUCUGAUUUUGACCCAAGUUGAUAACCGGCCCUCUCCGGAUAUCAAUAUCUAGUUUUUCUAAAUAAUUUUUGCGAGAAUUUACUCUUAACUUCUUUCUUAAGAUGUUUAUAUCAUUUAUUUUUCCAAUAUACAUCAUUUUGCCUUAUUUUUGGCCCUACAAAGUAAGUAGAAGCUAUGUUUUCUAAAAGAGUUGCAUUAUUACUAAAAUUUUUACUACCUUCGUAUCUUUAAUCCAUAUUUUUCUACUUUAUCUUUUAACUUGGUUCUUCUAUAAUAAGAUCCAUAUCAUUGUCUUUCACUAUAUAGUCAUGUUAUAAUAUGACAAUGGAUCUUCUACCAUCAAGCUUAUUUGACACUAUCUUUAUAGUUGUUGAUUGAUUGACCAAGAUGGCAUAUUUUAUACCUUACAAAAAUUCAAUUACUAGUAAAGAGAUAGUAAGACUCUUUAUUUACAAUGUCUAUUUUUUUUAGGGUUGCUAGAUGACAUUUUAUUAGAUUGUGGGCCACAAUUUUUAUCAAGGUUUUGGAAGGCACUAUUCAAAAUUCUUAAGGUUGAUAUCAAUCUUUCUUCUACCUUUCACCCUCAAAUUGAUGGUCAAACAAAGUAAGUCAACUAAAUUCUUGAGCAAUAUUUAAGCUAUUGGCGAAUUAAAUGAGGAAGGAACAUCUUCUAUUCUAAAUUCGUGACAAAGUGUGGCUUCUUUGGCACAAUAUAAAAACCAACAAGUCAUGUGAUAAGUUGGACUAUCAAAGGUUGGAACCAUUUGUGAUUCAAAAAUAAAUCAAUAAUGUAACUUAACGCUUGGAGUUACCUUCAUCCAUGAAGAUUCAUCUAGUCUUUCAUGUUUUACUUUUGAAAAGAUAUAAAGAAUUGAAUAUACCAAGACAAAGACAACCACUACUUCCUAUGAUUGAAAUCAAUGAUCAUAUUGAAUUUGAGGGAGAAGAGGUAUUAGAUUCAAGGAUAAAACAUAGAAGGCUUGAAUAUCUAGUCAAUUGGUAUAGAUAUGAUAUCAACAAUCGCACAUAAGAACCAAUUGGUAACUUUGUAAAUGCACAAAUGAAGGUUCAAAAGUUCGAUCAAUGACAUCCAUCCAAAUCAAAAGCAACAAAAUGAAGAAUAAUAGCUUAGUAAGAUGGCUUCACCAUGAAGAUUCUUAAUUCUUGGCCUCAUAAAGAAGGAGAGGAGCCAACCUUUAAAAAAGCAGUUGUUGUCAAAUGUUUAAAAUAGUAUAAGUCAGUAGUUUGAAUUUAUGACCAUAGCCUAUUUAUAUUCUUUUGGUCUUGUCUAUUUUAUGUGAUAUGGAUAAUCAAGAUAUAGAUAUCCUAUCGAUCAUACCAUAACAAUGAAGUAGCUUAUGGAAAUGACCCAGAAAUGAAGAGCUGCUUGAACUAUAAAGAUAUCAAAGGAUAAUCAGUAAUAGGUCACUAGUUGUUUUGUUUGAGGUAGAACCCUCCUACGAAGGACGUCAAGAAGUAAUAUUGGCAAGACAAUUUCAUAACAAAGAUUCCAAAUUUCAUGCUUAGUUACAAGUAGAAGGCUAGAGGCACUAUCAAUGGUUACAAGGGCCUAUGAACUAUUUCCCUUACAAAAAAAAACUAGAAUAUAUAGCGGAUACCAUGAGAUAGAUCUUCAACUUCUUGCACAUAUACUAACUUGCAACAACAUUACUUCUUAAAGGCCUCAAAGCUAGGAGAGGAGGUGAUGUUAUAGAUAUACAAUUGAAGAAGAGUUAAAAAAAUUCUAGGAGAUUUUAGAAGGUUUUAAGAAGGUUCUUAUAGAUCUUAAAAGAUUCCAAUAGGUUUUAAGAAAGUUUUAAAAGAUUCCAAUUGAUUCUUCAUAGAAACUUUUCAAGAAGCUUUCUAUGACCUAAUAUAUAUGAGUCGGAGUUGAGGUGAUCUUUAGUCUUAACAACUCAUUUUUUGUGAUUUACUCAAGACUUUCAUGCCUUAUAUCCAAUUAUUAUUCUAAUGUCGAGCUUACUCCAUUUUUUGAUCUUCAAUUUUUGUUUUGUAUAUGAUCUCUUACAAUAAUAGAUAAGUAAAAAUAAUUCUCAAUCUAGAUAAGAUCUUUAUUGUGGUGCAACAUGGAAUUUUACUAGGCUAUAUAGUGUUUAAGAAAAAAACAGAGCUUGAUCUAAAAAAAUAAAAGUAAUUAUGAACCUUCAACCUCCUUCAAUUGUGAAAGAAGUACAAAAGAUCAUGGUCACGUGGAUUGGUACCAUGAGAUUAUUUACAAUUAUGCCAUCAAAGUCCUUCUCAUAAUUAAACUACAACAAAAAGUAGUCAAAUUUGAGUAGACCCCAGAAUGCUAACAAGCGUUUGAUCAAUUAAAAAGAGAUCUAAGUACUUAUCCAAUAUUUAAACCAUCAAAUUGGAAUUAAACAUUUCAUAUAUAUUAUAAUGCUUCAUUAGCUGUGGUACAUAAUAUUUUAUUUUAGCUAUCAAAUGGUGAAAGGAAAGACUAUCCUAUUGCUUAUGCAAGCAAACAAUUGAAUAUAGCUAAAAAGAACUAUAAUAUAAUUAAGAAGGAAUAUUUGACAACGAUUUUUUUGGUGAAGAAGUUUCAUCAUUAUCUCUUCUUGAACUUAAUAGUCUUCUUUGUAGAUUAUAUGGCUAUUAAAUACUUAGUCAAUAGGAUAAAUUUGAGUGAGAGGAUACAUCAAUGGAUUUUUCUCUUUAAAGAAUUUGACUAUUUCAUAGAAUAUAAGCUAGGUAGAAUGCAUAGCUGAGCAGACUAUUUGUCGCAAUUUUUGGAGGAUCUUAAUCUUACAACUUUGGAUGAUAGCCUUGUAGAUGAACACCUCUUUACUAUCUUAUCCACUCCGAUCUAGAAUUUCCAUAUCAUCCAAUUUUGGACAAUUUAAUAAUUAUUACAGAAUCUAUGCAAGAAUAAACGAUGAAAGAUUAGAGUAAAUAGUAGAUACUUUGCAGUGAUAGAAAAUAAGUUGUAUUAGAGAGGAGUAGAUAGAAUUCUUUGAUGUUGUAUAAUGGCUGAAGAAAUACCAACCAUUUUAAUUGCAUGCUAGGAUAAUAGAUACAUAGGUCACUUUUUUAUAUGUUAAUAGGCCAGAAGGCCCUUUGAGCCACUUAUUACUUGCUUCACAUGUUUAGAACUAUCCAUUACUAUAGGAAAUAAUAUAAUGCAUGUCAAUAAUAUACAAGAAAUAAUCUUUAUAUGAAAUUAUUCGUUACAGUGUCAUUGCCAUUAGUUCCCUUUGAAAAAUAGAGAAUUGAUUAUAUUAAAAAAAAUUAUCUUAAUUCUUUUAGUAGUAAAAAAUAUAUUAUCAUGGCUACCAAAUAUCUAACCAAAUGAGCUGAAGCUAAGGCAGUAACAACAAAUGUUGUUAAGACUAUAGCUAACUUCAUAUUUAAACACAUUAUUACUCAAUUUGAUUGUUCUAAGAUAUUGAUUAGUGAUAGAGGUUGAUACUUUUUGAACAAAGUAAUGGAGGAGGUUAUAAAAUGAUUUGCAAUUAAUUAUUGAAAGAUAAUAUCCUAUCACUCUUAAAUCAAUAAUCAUACAAAAAGAAUGAAUCAAAUUCUUGUGAAUAUCUUACAAAAAACCAUGGUGGAUUCAAAACAAGAUUGAAAUAUCAAACUCUUGUGGCCUUGUAGGCAUAUAGAAUCACUUUCAAGGUUACUACCCAAGCUACAUCUUUUUCUUUGAUUUAUAGAUUAGAAUCUAUCUUACCAAUUGAGUUGAAAAUUCCAUCUUUCAGUAUUACCAUCAAUGAGAAGCUUUCCUAUAAUAAAUCCUUGAAGGACUACUUAGAAUAAUUAAAAUACUUGAACAAAAUACGUAAGACGAAUACUCAACAUAUAGAGGCUAUUUAGAAGAGGUACAAAAUUGCUUUUAAUAAAAGACACAAAAAUCGAGUUCUUUAAUCUAGCAUAUUGGUCCUACUUCAAGUUGCUAGAAAUCUUGAUUUUUUAGGCAGGUUUAAUGCACUUUGACUAGGUUCCUAUUAUGUCAAGGAAGUAUUUUUCAAUAAUUCUAUUUAAUUACAAACCUUAAAUAGAGAGGACUUCUCAACUUAUACUUUUAAGAAUAGAUGCAAGAAGUAUAAAACUUAAUAAAUAAGAUGUUACCAUCGUCUUGUAUUUAUUAACCAUUUUCUAAAUUUAGAUAUUAAAAUUUUUUUAUGUAGAUAUUUACCAUCAUUAUAAGAAUUCAAAUUUUUUUAAUAUUUAAAGUUGGCCAAUAACCUGCUACUACUAUAUAAUUUAGAAUAAUCUCCAAAAAUAUCCCCCUAUGGAUAUAAGAAGUUAGUUGAGACUAAGAUUAGAUCCAAAUUGGUCCAAGGUUCAAAUUGUAUGACUUUACAUAUUGGUGCUAUCUUAUUGUAAGCUAGAGAUUAUAUAGAAAAAGAAUCUAUAUAACAAAUAUGAUAGGAUUUUCCAAAGGAGAUGUACUUAGACUAACUUAUAUAAACUUUUAAAAUAAUUUAUUUAGAUUCAUACUAAUAUAAGCUGACAUUAACAUUUUAACUCAUUACAUAAUAAUUUUUCUUAAUAUUCUAUGGUCUUUUAGUCCAAAUUCACUCAGGAUGAAGAUAAAAGGUGGUUUGACAAUGUUUGAACUAUUGUCAUGGACACAGAAAUACAGACUUGAGAUCUAAGCAGAUGUUCAAGAAGAACUGGUAAGAAUUAGAUUAAUUUGAUGAAUACAAAAAUAACACCAGAGAGGUGAGCUAGAGCUUCAAGAGAUGUGUUGUCGAGACUGAAGAACUCUUCAGCCUCGAUUCCAAUAUAUACUCCUAUUUAGGAAGCUUCUCAAGCAACUUCUACCAACUAGGAAGCUUCUAAAAGGUUCUAGAGACUUGCUUCUAGAAGGUUCUAGAAACUUGUCUCUAAAAGAUUCUAAAGACUAUGUCCUUAAUAUCUUCUACUAACUAUGAAGCUUCUAGAAGAUUCCAGAGAUUUGCUUCUAGAAGGUUCUAGAAACUUGUCUCUAGAAGGUUCUAAGGACUAUGUCCCUUAUAUCACCUCCUCCUUUAGCUUCGAGGUCUCUGAGAAGCAAUGUUGUUGUUUAUCAGUACCAACGCAAGAAAAUGAAGAUCUGUUGCAUAACGUCUGCUAUGAACUCCAACUAUUGUUCACGAGACAAGUGGUUCAUUGGCCCUUGAAGCCAAUGGUAGUGGCCCACGCCUUCGACUUCUGACCAAGCAUGAACUUUCAUGUCCUAAUUAUGAAAUUGUCCUGCAAACACGUCUUCUGGUUGACCAUCGUAAGUAGGCUCAAAUUCAAAUACAAUCACCAAUGAUCGGUUAUUUGGUAUCCUUCGUCGUAGUCAUGGUGUAGGCAGUUCUUCAUCUCGGGGUUGCCUCCGUGAGCUAGUUGGUUGAGAUAAUCUGAUGGGCAUAGUAUCUAUCUCUUGGCUAUCCAUAUCAGAAGACCAAACUAUGGCUACUGAAAAAAUUUUACUUUAUCUUGGAGAAAAUAACUACAUCAACUACGAAUUUUGGUGGUGCUCUCCCCCUUUCUUAUAUUCUUGGGUGAACAAGCUUUAGAAGGAAGCUAUCGUUGAACUGAUUUAGGUUUAUGAGGAUGUUGUUGAUCAAACUCCUAUACCUUUUGCGACGCAUUGGCGAGAUUUUUAGCUGGCUCCCACGUUGUCGUAUUAUGUGCUAUCUUGCUUGAGAAUGUGCCAGGCAUCUGGCUGUAGGAGGUAGUAUGGUGUUUUGCUAGUACUCAAGCAGUCUAUCGGGUUCUUGACUACCCAAAUCCAAUCUAUAUCGGAUUGCAAUGUAAAAGCUUAAUUCCAAUAUAAAACGCCUAGAGACUCUAUAUAACUUCAAUCGCUUUUGUUAUUUUUAUUUUAUUUUAUUUAUUUUAUGUUUUUUAUUUUUUCUUUGUCGUUAAUUACCUUAAUUCUAGACUGUGAACUUUGGUAAGCUGUGAUCCUCAAUUUGUCCUUCCGACUUGUUGUGAAACAUCUAUCGCUAGUGUCUCAGCAAGCCCUUUCGAAUGCUCAAGAAGUUCCAGUUUAACCCCGCUUACAGAUUGUGAGGCUAUGAUAUAAUUUAUACCGAUUUCCCUUGGCCGCUCGCCGACAUUCUUCUUAUUCCUGUCGGUAGGUCCCCAGUUAUGAUAGAAAUCCUAAACAACCCCCAAUUUGCCAACUCCCAAUACCUCUUUAAACUGUUGGCAGAUAUCUUCUAUGCAUAUAGUCAGAUUAAUACAACCACACAUGCAUUCAGCAUACUCAAACUUCUAGACAACUCUAAAUUUCAACCACAAAAGUAUCUCCUAUUUCAUCAACAAUCAAGAGUGCUAGUCUUUCCUCUCUUAUGGAAAAAAAUCUAGUGCACCAAUAUAACAUUGACUUUCAACAACGAUUGCGUCAGUCUUCCAAAAACCUUAUGAAGAAAAAAAAAUCCCAAUUCUCUAUCUUUUUGAAGCAUGAAGCUAGCUCUCCGACCCUUAAAACCUUCGAUUCUCGAAAAAAAAAGUCCAUUUCUUAACCUACCCUCUCUUUUUACCAUGAGAAGAUCCUAUUCUUCCACUGUGGACUCCUUGAAUUGGACCGCCAACCUCCUGCUUUUCUCCCCCCAUUUUUGCCUUUUAGAGAUCUUUUUACAGAAAGGACGUUCUCGGAACGGUACAAAGAAUGGAACAACCUGAAACGAAUCGAAGCCCGUAAUCGGACCACAUUGGGUUGCUUGACCAAGUCAGGUCUCAUAUUGGAUAAGAGGCCCGUAAUAGGACCUGGAUUAGAGGUCUUCUGAAAUUGGAUCCAAUUGGCUCUUCGAACGAGGCUCACCCGUCGUUGAAUUGGUCCUUUCCUUUUCUGCUGAUUCCUGUUAUUGUAAUCAAACGGAGCAUUUCGUUACUAGUGAGUAUGCCCCGGCUGACUGUAACGGGGUGACUGAACCUGGCCUCUCAAUAUUUGCACUGGAAUUGGCUGCCGCUUCUAACAUCCAAUGUGACUAAAUAUUAAUAAAUCUUCUUCAUUUAUAUUUUCAUCAUAUAGACGUGUUACAAUACAUUAUCCACCCCCUCUGAACCUGUGCAUCCUUUGGUAUGCACCAAUUAACCUAGUUGCCGUUUGAUUCAUAAUAUGUUCUCCAAAUCUUUGUCUAGUCCAUCUCCACUGUCUCUGCUAUCCAAAUCAAUUUCAUCUUCCCACUAUGAAAUAUCUAUGUCUUCAUUAAGGUCUUCUAUAUUUAUUUGUGCAUAUCUUUGUUUAAACAAUUUCACUCUCUUCUUUGCAAUUGGUAUUUUUAACCUUAUGUCAUCUAACUCCCGCAAUGAAUAAGUUGCAUUAUCAUGAACAGUUAUUACCACAUAUGGUCCAAAUCAACGUUUUGAAAACUUCCGUAAAGUCCUCUAUUGGUUGUCCAAACUACUAUCAUAAACAAGUACCCAAUCACCUUCUUCAAUUGCUUUAGGUCUCAAUCGAUGUUGCUUAUCGAAUCGUGCCUUAUUUUGUAACCUUACUUUUUUUAACCUUUCUAAUGCUAUAUGCACAUCUUCCGAUCUUUGCUCCAAUUAUCGAAUCCUAAUAGCCAGAAGUUCUUCUCUUAUCAAUCCAUCUUCCCAUGUUAGCAUACUCCAAGUAAGUACCCUUUCUUCAAUUGACAUAAUUGGUUUUCGACCUGUCAUAAGUUCUACUGGCAUACAUAUUGACACCGAACUAUGUGUUGUUCGAUCAAUCUAUAAUGCAAAUGACAAAAGCCGUGACUACUCUCUAACUUUUCCAUUACAAGCUUUAACUAAUACUUUCACAAUUGGUGGGUGACCACGUUUGCUUUUUGCAUUCCCUUCCGGAUUAUAAGCAGUAGUCAGUGAUAGUUUAACUCCACAUCUUUCAAAGAACUUACGAGCUUUUUGUGCAUUUAAUUCUCCAUGAUCUGCAAUGAUUUUUCCUAUGCAUCCGUAGUGGCAAAUGACAUCUUCAAGCUAAAACCUACAAAUCCCCUCUGUAGAUUUUGUCCUCAAUGCUCUUCCUUCUACUUGAUUUGAUAAAUCUUCACAAGCUAAGAUCAAAUAUCUCAUCUGCCAUAACCCAACCGACAUAAUAACCAAAUCAACAACCCAUUUAAAAUGAAUAGCCAAAGGAUAUGUAGGAUGAAGACCAUCUCGAUGUCGGAUAUUAGAAUACUAUUGACAAAUUUCACAUGACUCUACAAAUGAGAGCACAUCUCGAUACAUAUUUUUCCACCAAUAUCGUUCCUUGAGUUUAGCAAAAGUAGCCUAGAUUCUUCUAUGCCCUACCCAUAAACUAUCAUGAAACUCCUUUAAUAAUUUUAGUUUUUCUUCCCUUUUGCCUAUCACUCGUUGUGGCAUCCCAAUUCCUUUCUUCGGUCUCUUCUAUAAGAAUCCAUCUCGAAGUAAAAAUCCAUAUGUUUUUUUUUCUUAUUUGUUUGAAUUUUUCUGUAGGCCGAUUCCCCUGCUUACUCAAGGUAUUCAAAUAAUGACCAAUAUCCAAUAAUUCUUUUUCAUAAGAUUCUUCAAGAAAUAGCUUGUCUUCUUUGUUGAGAUUUGAUAUUGAAUAGAAUUUCAAUCCGACAUCAUCAAUGUCUUCAACCAUUUCGUCCUCCCUCUCGUAUCUUGCUCGAGAUAGCAUGUCUGCUACUAAAUUGUCCUUCCCAAUGAUAUGCUUAAAUUCUGGAUUUAGUGACUUAAUAUAAGCAAUCCAUCUCAACAUUGCAAUAUCUGGCGUUGAACAGUUAGUAAUCAUUCCAAGCAAUGGCAAGCAAUCUGUUUCAAUUACUACUACUGCCGCAAUCAAAUAAUCCUUUUCAGCUUUCAUAGCCGAAACGACUCCCCAAAGUUCUCUUUUGACUUACGAAUAUGCACGCUGACGAAUACUUAAAACUUUAGCCCCAAAUCGAACUGCAAAUCUACUCCCAUUUGAAUCAUCUUGAUCCACAGCCCAUCUAAUGGCAAUUGGACUAGUGUCCACAGUAAGAAUCACUGGUCUAUUGCACUCAUAAUCAACCUUCCUUAAUAUUGGAGGUAACAUCAAUAAUUUCUUCAAUCUUUGCAUUGCCUUAAUAUGCCUUUCUUCCAAUUUCAAUUGGUAGCCCUUGCGUAACAGUUCAUAUAAUGGAUCCACUAUAUGAGCAUAAUGAGGGAUCUAGAUUCGAUAAAAUAUACAUGCACCUAAAAACCUGUGAACCUCUGUUAAAGAAUCACAAUCCUCUUUCAUCCUUCCAAUUGUAUCAACUUUAGUCGGAUCUGGUUCUCUUCCGUAAGAUUCACAUAAAUAUCCAACAAUCACAACCUAUUGUACUCCAAAUAUGGACUUCAUACCCGAUAAUGUAAGAUGAACUUCUCCAAGCCGAGUUAAAAUCUUUUCACAAUCUUGUAUAUGAUCAACAACAUAUUUGUAACAUCCUCUCUUAUCUAAAGUUUCAUCCUUGUCUCCUUCUCUGUACCUUUUUAUAGGAACAUCAUCUCGAAAAGGCAUAGUCUUCUCUAGAAUAAAAUCUCUCAAUACCUUAUUCAUUCCAUUCAUCAUAUGUACAGCUGAGUUCAUGGCGCCUUGAGGAAGAGUGCACAUUCUAACCAAUCUAAGUAGUGUUCUUAUCAUUGUCAUAUCUCUAUUUCCUUCGGCUAGUUGAAAUUGAUCAUAACCUAAAUACAAGUCUUCCAUUGAAUAGAUCGUCCUUCCUACAAACGCCUCAGUAAAUUCAUCCACAAUAGGUCCAAUUCCUGCAUUUCUAACAGUUACUGCAUUCAUCAGUUGCAUAACUUGAAUAAAACGUAGUGACCCAUUCUUCUUAGGUACCGUAAACCAUCGACUAGAAUGCGGCAUGAAUGAGGGUUCCAAUAUUUUCAUCUUCAUCUUUUCUUUUAAUAGUUCCACCAAUUUAGGUAAAUGUACCCUCGAUACUAGAAUCGGUCUUAGAUUCCAAGGUACAUGCGAUAAAGUGAAGAUAAACAUAGGUGUUAUAAUAUUCAGAUCCACAUACCCAAUUUCAUAAGAUUCAAAGGCAAAUGAUCUACCUUGUUUAGCCAACAUCUUUUUGAAGGAAAUAAUUUCCUCCGGCAAUAAAGAACCAUCACAACCAAUCUUCAAUUCUUCAAAAGUCUCUUUAGUAAACUGAUGUCCAAUACUCAUUGGAUUUCUUAAACUUUCUUCUUUAGAUGCUUCUCACAUUUGUUCCUUAGAAUCUUCUCAUAAUGGUUCAGCAACAUACUUUAUCUUCUUAUUUGCCGUUUUAUAUAUCGUCUCUACAGUGACUUCUGGUGCUUGAAAAGAUUCAAGUAUGGUAUAAACCUCUCUUGAAUGAAUCUCAACAAUCUUAUCAUUAUCCUCUAACCCAAUAGAUGUAAUCAAUUCCAAUGAAUCUUCCAGUCCGUUUUCUUCAUAAACACCUAAAAUCCUCUCAUCAUCUUGCAAUGUACCUAUCUUGCGUAAUUUUCCUUCAAUUUUAUAUAAUCUUUUUCUUUCUUUCUUUUAAAAUCAUCAACUUUUUUAUACAUAAUAUUUCCAUUCUCGAAAAUACCAAUAAAACUCACAUCAAAGGCACCUUCAUCUCACGAGAGUACCUCCUCUUUUGUACCUUCAUAAUCUCGCUUUAUAGUGAUACCUCCUCAAAAUCCUUAAAUCCUUCAACAAUCUUUGGCAAUGGUUUCUCCCUCAACCUAUCUCGAUUCCGUUCAUGGUUAGGAGGUACUGUUAGAAAUUGUACAGCUUUCCUCCCAUCUUUGCUCCGUACCCUUGCAUAAGCAGAACCAUCGUCAAGUACUUUUGUUUCCAUCCGUGUUGCCAUAGUAUAAGGUUAUCCUAAAAUCAACAGAUAAGUCGUAUCUUGAACAAAGAAAUGUUGCUCCGUCGCAACAUCCCUAAUCCAAAUAUUGACAUCUAGACAAGCUCCAUAUAAUUUUCCCCAUGUGUUAUUAGCUGCUCGUUGUCGUAUUACGUACUUUCCUGCUCGAGAACGCACCGGGCGUCUGGCUGUAGAAGGUAGUAUGGAGAUUCAUCGAUAGUCAAGCAGUGUAUCAGUUUUGACUGCUGGAAUAUAAACGACUGCAACAAUGUACCGUAAAUCUAUACGGAUGCUCUUCGACUGCUUGUCAAAGUCCUUUUUGCCCUAGCCGGUAGGUCUCUAGACGUUACAGAGAACCCCGAACAACCCAAACUGUUAAUCUUCAAUACCGCUUUGUACUUACGAUCUUGUAUCCACUGACUGUCUUGUUAGAUUAACCCAAUAAAUUUCAUUCACUCCGCAUAUUCAAUCCUAUAGACGCCCGUUUAAUCCUUCAAUCACAGACGUAACUCGAUUUCACAAAACAGUCAAGAAUAUUCAAACCCACUUCAUUAAAAAUCUCGAUUCACCAUUACAAUACUGACUUCAGCAGCGAUUGCCUCAGCCUUCCCAAAACUCUACGAAGAAGAAAAAUCCAAAUUCUCUGUCUUUCUUUCCCCGACCCGAAGCAUGAAGCUCCUCUCUCUCUAAUCCCUCCUUGAUCUUCAGAAACCUCCAAUGAAAACCGAACUAGUAACCUUGCAAAAGCUUGAAAACUAGCUCCUCCCGAUUCCCAGAGAAAAAAAAAAAACCCUCCUUUCAAAACUAUAUCCCCCCUAACCUUAUCCUCUGAAUUUCUUCAAUCUUCCAUCUUAGAUCCGGAAUUGGCUCCCACCUCAAGCUUGGAUCCAAAAUUGGCUCUCGUCGUCAAGCUUGGAUCCGAAAUUGGCUCUCGCCGUCAAAGCUUUCUCCUCCGUUUUUACCUUUAAGAAAUCCAUUUAUCGAAAACAACGUUCCCUGAAACGGCACAGAGAACAGGACAGCCUGAAACAGAAUCGAACCCCGUAAUCGGAACAACAUUGAGUCGCUCGGCCAAUUCAGGUCUCAUAUUGGAUAAGAGUCCAGUAGUAACCUGGAUGUUCUUAUAAUUGGAUCAAAUUAGUCCUCGCGUCGGAUUGGAUAAGACCCGUAGUAAGACCUGGAUUUCCCGUAAUUGGGUUGACCGGCCAAUUCAGGUCUCAUAUUGGAUAAGAAACCCGGAUUGGAUUCUCGAAAUUGGAUCCAAUUGGCUCUUCGAACCCGUCGUGUGAAUUGGUCCUUCUCUUCCUACUGACUCCCGUUAUUAGAAUGGAAUGGAGCAUUUCAGUAUGCCCUGGCUGACUGUAACGGAGUGACUGAACCUGACCACUCAGUAUUUGCACUGGAGUUGGUCGAUGCUCCCAAUAUUCGAGGUAGCUGAAUAUUAAUAAAAUUCUCCUUUCUUUUUAUUUUCACUGUAUACUCGUGUUACAAUACGACAUCCACCCCCUCUGAACCUAUGCAUCCUCCGGUAUGCACCAAUUUACCCAAUUGCUGUUUGAUUCAGAAUAUAUCUUCUACGUCUUUGUCCAGUUCGUCUUCGUCACCUUCAUUAUCCAAAUCACUUUCAUCUUCUUACUGCGGAAUCUCUAUACCUUCAUUAAGGUCUUCCAUAUUCAUCUCUGCAUGUCUUCGUUUAAAUAUUUUUACUCGCUUCCCUACAAUUGGUAUUUUCAAUUUUAUACCAUCUAACUCCCGUAAUGAGUAAGUCGCAUUACCAUGAACAGUUGUUACCACAUAUGGUCCAAACCAACGUUUUGAGAGUUUCCGCAAAGUACUAUGUUGAUUAUCCAGACUAUUGUCAUAAACAAGUACCUAGUCACCUUCCUCGAUUGCUUUUGGUCUCAAUCGAUGUUGCUUAUCGAAUCGCGCCUUGUUUUGUAACCUUGCUCUUUUUAACCUUUCCAAUGCUAUCUGGACAUCUUCCGUUCUUUGCUCCAAUUGUCGAAUCCUAAUAGCCAGAAGUUCUUCUCUUGUCAAUCCAUCUUCCCAUGGUAGCAUACUCCAAGUGAGUACCUUUUUCUUCAAUCGACAUAAUUGGUUUUUGACCUGUCAUAAGUUCUACUGGCAUAUAUCCUGUCACCGAACUAUGUGUUGUUUGAUCAGCCCAUAAUACAAAUGACAAUAGCCGUGGACACUCUUUAACUUUCCCAUUACAAGCUUUAACCAAUGCUUUCACAAUCGACGGGUGACCGCGUUCGCUUUUUGCAUUCCCUUCCGGAUUAUAAGCAGUAGUCAGUGAUAGUUUAACUCCACAUCUUUCAAAGAACUUACGAGCUUCUUGUGCAUUUAAUUCUCUACGAUCUGCAGUGAUUUUUCCUACGCACCCGUAACGGCAAAUGACAUCUUCAAGCAAAAACCUACAAAUCCCCUCUGUAGAUUUUGUCCUCAAUGCUCUUCCUUCUACUUGAUUUGAUAAAUCUUCACGAGCUAAGAUCAAAUAUCUCAUCUGCCAUAACCCAACUGGCAUAAUAACCAAAUCAACAACCCAUUUAAAAUGAAUAGCCAGAGGAUACGUAGGAUGAAGACCAUCUCGAUGUCGGAUAUUAAAAUACGAUUGACAGAUUUCACAUGACUCUACAAAUGAGAGCACAUCUUAAUACAUAUUUUUCUACCAAUAUCGUUCCUUGAGUUUAGCAAAAGUAGCCCAGAUUCCUCUAUGCCCUGCCCAUAAACUAUCAUGAAACUCCUUUAAUAAUUUUAGUUUUUCUUCCCUUUUGCCUAUCACUCGUUGUGGCAUCCCAAUUCCUUUCUUCGGUCUCUUCUAUAAGAAUCCAUCUCGAAAUAAAAAUCCAUAUGUUUUUUUUCUUAUUUGUUUGAAUUUUUCUGUAGGCCAAUUCCCCUGCUUACUCAAGAUAUUCAAAUAAUGACCAAUAUCCAAUAAUUCUUUUUCAUAAGAUUCUUCAAGAAAUAGCUUGUCUUCUUUGUUGAGAUUUGAUAUUGAAUAGAAUUUCAAUCCGACAUCAUCAAUGUCUUCAACCAUUUCGUCCUCCCUCUCGUAUCUUGCUCGAGAUAGCAUGUCUGCUACUAAAUUGUCCUUCCCAAUGAUAUGCUUAAAUUCUGGAUUUAGUGACUUAAUAUAAGCAAUCCAUCUCAACAUUGCAAUAUCUGGCAUUAAACAGUUAGUAAUCAUUCCAAGCAAUGGCAAGCAAUCUGUUUCAAUUACUACUACUGCCGCAAUCAAAUAGUCCUUUUCAGCUUUCAUAGCCGAAACGACUCCCCAAAGUUCUCUUUUGACUUACGAAUAUGCACGCUGACGAAUACUUAAAACUUUAGCCCCAAAUCGAACUGCAAAUCUACUCCCAUUUGAAUUAUCUUGAUCCACAGCCCAUCUAAUGGCAAUUGGACUAGUGUCCAUAGUAAGAAUCACUGGUCUAUUGCACUCAUAAUCAACCUUCCUUAAUAUUGGAGGUAACAUCAAUAAUUUCUUCAAUCUUUGCAUUGCCUUAAUAUACCUUUCUUCCAAUUUCAAUUGGUAGCCCUUGCGUAACAGUUCAUAUAAUGGAUCCACUAUAUGAGCAUAAUGAGGGAUCUAGAUUCGAUAAAAUAUACAUGCACCUAAAAACCUGUGAACCUCUGUUAAAGAAUCACAAUCCUCUUUCAUCCUUCCAAUUGUAUCAACUUUAGUCGGAUCUGGUUCUCUUCCGUAAGAUUCACAUAAAUAUCCAACAAUCACAACCUAUUGUACUCCAAAUAUGGACUUCAUACCCGAUAAUGUAAGAUGAACUUCUCCAAGCCGAGUUAAAAUCUUUUCACAAUCUUGUAUAUGAUCAACAACAUAUUUGUAACAUCCCCUCUUAUCUAAAGUUUCAUCCUUAUCUCCUUCUUUGCACCCUUUUAUAGGAACAUCAUCCAGAAAAGGCAUAGUCUUUUCCGGGAUAAAAUCUCUCAAUACCUUAUUCAUCCCAUUCAUCAUAUGCGCAACUGAGUUGGUCGUGCCUUGAGGAAGAGUGCACAUUCUAACCAAUCCAAGCGGUGUCCUCAUCGUUGUCAUAUCUCUACUUCCUUCGGCAAGUUGAAAUUGAUCAUAACCUGAAUACAAAUCACCCAUUGAAUAGAUUGCCCUUCCAGCAAACGCCUCAGCAAAUUCAUCCACAAUAGGUCUAAUUUCUGCAUUCCUGACAGUUACAGCAUUCACCGGCUGCAUAUCUUGAAUAAACCGCAGUGACCCAUUCUUCUUAGGUACCGUAAACCAUCGACUAGAAUCUGGCGCAAAUGAAGGUUCCAAUAUUUUCAUCUUUAUCUUUUCUUUCAAUAGUUCCACCAAUUUAGGUAAAUAUGCCCUCGGUACUAAAAUCGGUCUUAGAUUCCAAGGUACAUGCGGUACAGUGAAGAUAACCAUAGGUGUUAUAAUAUUUGGAUCCACACACCCAAUUUCAUGAGAUUCGAAGGCAAACGAUCUACCUUGUUUAGCCAACAUCUUUUUGAAGCAAGUAAUUUCCUCCGGUAAUAAAGAACCAUCAGAACCAAUCUUCAAUUCUUCAAAAGUCUCUUUAGUAAACUGAUGUCCAAUACUCAUUGGAUCUCUUAAACUUUCUUCUUUAGAUGCUUCUCACAUUUGUUCCUUAGAAUCUUCUCAUAAUGGUUCAGCAACAUACUUUAUCUUCUUAUUUACCAUUUUAUAUCUCGUCUCUACAGUGACUUCGGGUGCAUGAAAAGAUUUAAGCAUGGUAUAAACCUCUCUCGAAUGAAUCUCAACAAUCUUAUCAUUAUCCCCUAACCCAAUAGAUGUAAUCAAUUCCAAUGAAUCUUCCAGUCCAUUUUCUUCAUAAACACCCAAAAUCCUCUCACCAUCUUGCAAUGUACCUAUCUUGCGUAAGUGUCCUUCAAUAUUAUAUAAUCUUUUUCUUUCUUUUCUUUUAAAAUCAUUAACUUUCUUAUACAUAAUAUUUCCAUUCUCCAAUAUACCAAUAAAACUCACAUCAAAGGCACCUUCAUCUCGCGAGAGUACCUCCUCUUUUGUACCUCUAUAAUCUCGCUUUACAGUGGUACCUCUCUAAAAUCCUUAAAUCCUUCAACAAUCUUUGGCAAUGGUUUCUCCCUCAACCUAUCUCGAUUCCGUUCAUGGUUAGGAGGUACUGUUAGAAAUUGUACAGCUUUCCUCCCAUCUUCGCUCCGUACCCUUGCAUAAGCAGAACCAUCGUCAAGUACUUUUGUUUCCAUCCGUGUUGCCGUGAUAUAAGGUUGUCCUAAAAUCAACGGAUAAGACGUUGUAUCUUGAACGAAGAAAUGUUGCUCCGUCGCAACAUCCCCAAUCCGAAUUUUGACAUCUGGACAAGUUCCAUAUAAUUCGCCCCGUGUGUUAUUAGCUGCUCGUAUUGCCCAUCCAUGUUCCAUAUCAAUUGGCCAUUUUUGCUUCUUAUAAAGAUCUUUAGACAUGAGAUUUAUUUCAGAACCAUGGUUGACUAAAGCAACUAUUGGUUCUUCUAUAUCUCCUACCUUCAUCAAUACCUCAGUAGUUGCCCUUGCCCAAUGCUUUCGAGUAUAAUGGCUCAAAGUUUCUAUUUCCUUGUCACUAGAAUCUUCGAAAUGUACUCGCUGAUUAUACCCAUUCUUUUCAUUUGUUGGUUGCUUGUAACCAAUAUCAACCUCUUCUUCAUCUCUACAUAUUCUUGCAUCAAUGGCAUGACUCAUUCCAGUUUCGCCCAUUAAUUGCCUCUUUCGCUUAAUGCUGUCAAUGAUAACAUCAUGAAACUCCUUAUUUGCAAUUUCCAAGACUUCUUUCAAUGUGAAUUCCACCUUAGCGUUUAAUAUACGUUCUUCCAACAUCCCUUUCAAAUUUGUUGCCGCUUCAAUGUCAGAAAGUAGCUUAUAAGCAAUUGAUUUGCCCUUAUCUUUUGUCUUCGUUGUUUUUUCUCCCAAUGAUGCUGAGGUAUUCUUUACAGACAAUUCUUGUGAAGCUGCCUCCCGAGCCUUGUCUCCUCGAGUUUGUCUCUUAAAAGAAUUUCCUUCUCUAAUAUCAUCAAAAUUUCCUCGUCUCUUUUCUUCCAUCAAAGCUUCAUGUUGGCUCUUAGCAAUAUAUGCAUGAACUGAAAGAGACUCAACAGGAUCCUCCCAACCUGUUCUACCUCAUAUUGUAGCUGCAGUUCUCAAUAACGCUUCUCGAGGUAAUUUCCCUUCUUGCAUUGUAGAAACGGCAGAAGUCCAAAACUCACUAGUUUCCGUACUUCCACCAAUUUCAUCAUCUACUCUAGCACCAUAACUUGCACUUUCUCGUACUACUGUUUCAUGCUCUUUUAAGUAAUCUUGAACCAAUGCUCUCAUUCUUCCCUUGCCAAAAUUGGUUUGAAGAAGAUCCUCCCUAUCUUUCAAUACUAUCUUCCCAUCUUUCCAGCAAAUAAUUCCCUGCCGUAUCAUAUUAUUAAAUUCAUUGCAAUCUUUUCUAGUGUGUGAAGCAUCAUCACACCAAAUGCAUCUUUGUACAUAUCCUUGUUUUGAAACAUUCUUCGAAUUGUUUAUAGAAGUAUUCUCUUCAAGUCUUGCUAAUUUGAUUUGAAGAUCUCGCAUUCUUCGUAUAAUUUCUUCCAUACCCAUAUCUGCUUUCUUUGACAAGGAUGUCGAAGGUUGAAUUGUAGGCAUUGUUGGUGGUGUUGUACGUACUGGAGCUUUGGGUGCUUGUACUGUUUUCGAAAUAUUGCUCCUAUCCUUCCUCCUUUCUUUUUUUGUAAGCAACCCCACCGCAUCUUCAACGUUCUUCCACUUCGUUGUCAAUCCUUCAUCUUCUUCUUUGUCUUAAGAAGGGGUUCUAAUUUCUCUUGCAAUUCUCCAUCAGCAGCUUGAAGAAAUAGAUCAACUUUGUUCGGCUCCAAUGUCAAUUUUUCUACCUUCGAUAAUUGAGAGUACUGCCUUUCAAAUUCCCUUAGUAGCUCUGUUGCUUGCAAAUUCUUGUUGGGCCGUUCAAUCCAUCCCAGAAAUAGCUUCUUAGUAACGCGAUCAGCAUCUUCCAAGAAAUAUUCGUCUUUCAAUGCAUGUGAAAAAUCCUCCCAUGAAUUCCCAUAACGAUCCGUAAUCGAUGUAAUGUGGUCCCUUAUCUCCGGUAUCGUGGCAAGUCUAAAUAGUGCAACCAUUUUCUUCUCAGAAAUCUGAUUUAAUUCUAUUUCACGAACAUAACAUCUUAAAUACCUUGAAAUAUUCCUUCCAUCAAAUUGAUCAAUUUUAUUGACCACUGCUUGCAAUACUUUGGUUGCCAAAGCUUCCUUUCGUUCAUUGUUUUGCUGUUGUUGCAUUGACAAUGAGAAGGCUUGAAACAAACUAGCAAUAGAUGGAUCGAUGUGCAUACCUUGUUUUUUAGAAGACUCCCCACCAGAAACUCCUCCUAAAAAUCCUUCAAAAUUUUUAUUUUCGUUUUCCAUAAAAAUAAAGAUAAAAUCAACCGAAAUCCAAUACCUUCUACCUCAAGCUUUCACGUCGGGUUCAUCACUUAUGUCGUAUUACGUGCUUUCUUGCUUGAGAAUGCGCCGGGCAUCUGGCUGUAGAAGGUAGUAUGGAGAUUCGUCGAUAGUCAAGCAGUCUAUCAGUUUUUGACUGCUGGAAUAUAAACGACUGCAACAAUGUACCAUAAAUCUAUACGAGUGCUCUUCGACUGCUUGUCGAAGUCCUUUUUGCCCCAGCCGGUAGGUCUCUAGACGUUACAGAGAACCCCGAACAAUCCAAACUGUUAAUCUUUAAUACCGCUUUGUACUUACGAUCUUGUAUCCACUGACUGUCUUGUUAGAUUAACCCAAUAAAUUUCAUUCACUCCGCAUACUCAAUCCUAUAGACGCCCUUUUAAUCCUUUAACCACAGACGUAACUCGAUUUCACAAAACAGUCAAGAGUAUUCAAAUUUACUUCAUUAAAAAUCCCGAUUCACCAUUACAAUACUGACUUCAGCAGCGAUUGCCUUAGCCUUCCCAAAACUCUACGAAGAAGAAAAAUCCAAAUUCUAUGUCUUUCCUUCUCCGACUCGAAGCAUGAAGCUCCUCUCUCUCUAAUCCCUCCUUGAUCUUCAGAAACCUAUAAUGAAAACCGAUCUGAAAAAAAAAAAAAAACCCUUAAAACUGAUUCCUCUUCAAACUUAUUCUCCCCCUAAUCUUAUCCUCUUGAAUUCCUUCAAUCUUUCGUCUUGGAUCCGAAAUUGGCUCUCGCCGUCAGAGCUUAGAUCCAAAAUUGGCUCACGUCUUCAAGGCCUUCUCCUCCGUUUUUACCUUUAAGAGAUCCAUUUACCGCAAACAACGUUCCCUGAAACGGCACAAAGAACAGGACAGCCUGAAACAAAAUCGAAACCCCGUACUCGGGUCCACAUUGAGUCGCCCGACCAAUUCAGGUUCCAUAUUGGGAAAGAUGCCCGUAGUAAUCUGGAUGUUCGCAUAAUUGGGUCAUAUUGGUCCUCACGUGAGAUUGGCUAAGACCCGUAGUAAGACCUGGAUUUCCCGUAAUUAGAUUGCAUUGGGUUGAUCGGCAAAUUCAGGUCUCAUAUUGGGUAAGAGGACCCGGAUUGGAUUCUCGAAAUUGGAUCCAAUUGGCUCUUCGAACCCGUCGUGUGAAUUGGUCCUUCUCUUCCUACUGACUCCUAUUAUUGGAAUUGAAUGGAGCAUUUCAAUAUGCCCCGGCUGACUGUAACGGGGUGACUGAACCUGGCCACUCAGUAUUUGUACAGGAAAUGGUCGUUGCUCCCAAUAUUCGAGGUAACUGAAUAUUAAUAAAAUUCCCCUUUCUUUUUAUUUUCAUUGUAUACUCGUGUUACAACACGACAACGCUGCUUGAUAUCAAUGGCUAUUGAAUCUUCAAUGGUCACGGCAUGCACCUGAUUGAGGAAGUCAGCAUCAAUUGGCACAAUAGUAGCGCAAAGCCAAAAUUGCUCUAGCUUUAACAAUGUCGUACAUUAUUGAUCAAAUGCUGCUUCUCUAGCCUUUGGUACAAGAUACGAUCUCCUCGAUAAGGCAUCAGAUAAUCCUUGCUAUUUCCAGGUCGAUAAGUGAUAACAAAAAUGAACCUAGAUAGCAACAUACUCCACCGAGCUUGACGUUGAUUUAGAACUCGAGCCGACAUGAAAUACUCCAAAUUCUUGUGAUCUGUGUAUACGGUCACUGAGUGUGCAGCUCCUUCAAGAAAGUGACGCCAUUCUUGGAAAGAAUUAACUAUAGCAAGAAGUUCUUUAUCGUGGAUCUCAUAAUUGAUUUCAGCAGCAAAGAACUUUCGAGAAUAGAAUGCAACCAGAUGGAGCUUCUUGUCUUUUCCUAUUUGUGAAAGUACAGCUCUCAAAACAAAAUCCGAAGCAUCAGUUUCUAAAUAAAAGGCCUUUGUAAAGUCUAGAUGUACCAAGAUUAGAGCCGUAGUAAAUGCAGUCUUCAGGUCUUGAAACGCCUUCUCCGAUAGAGGUCCAUAUUCCAGCUUAUCCUUGCAUGUCAAUCAAAAGAGAGGAGCAGCAACUUGAGAGUAAUUCUUGAUGAAGAUCCGAUAGAAGUUGGCAAAAUGAAAAAAGCAUUGUACGUCUCUAACUGUCUUCAGAACCUCCCAGGACACGAUUGCUUCCACCUUCUUGGGGUCCAUCUUCAAGCCUUCUGUAGUCGCAAUGAAUCCAAAAAACUCCAUCUCUAUUUGGUGAAAUAAAUACUUUUCCAACUUGGCAUAUAGUCCUCCCUCGCAUAGUUUCUCUAAGACCAAACAAACGUACUUUUCAUGCUCUUCAUCGUUUUUGGAGAAUAUCAAAAUAUCAUCCAAAUAGAUGACAACAAAAUCAUCAAGGUGCUCUUAGAAAAUGUCAUUCAUCAUAUGUUGAAAGACCGCUGGAGUAUUGGUAAGACCAAAGGGCAUGAUAUUAUACUCAAAAUGGCCAUACCUUGUAUGGAACGCUGUCUUCCACUCAUCUCCUUCCUUGAUUUGUACGAGGUUGUAAUCUCCCCUUAGAUCAAUUUUUGUAAAGAUCCUUGCACGUCCAAGUUAUUCUAAGAGAUCAGAAAUCAAGGAUAACGGGUAACAAUUCUUCUUCGUUACCUUGUUGAGGCCUCGAUAGUCCAUGCCCAUCCACAACAAGCUAUCUUUCUUCUUCACAAAUAAGAUGGGUGCUUCAGCUAACGAUUUUGAAUGACGGAUGAAGUUCUUGGCUAGAUUCUCAUCGAUGUGCUUCCGCAACUCCAUCAACUCCAUCUGCGAUAGAUUGUAGAUUGGGCCAAAAGGCGGUUGUGCUCCUUCUUGCAAGUUUAUGGUACAAUCAUAUGGUCGGUGUUUUGUUAGCAUGUCAGCAUUCUUUUUUUGAAACACGUCUUUAAAAUCCUUAUAUUGCUUAGGUAUACUUGCUGUUUAGAUCUUCUCCCCAGUAGUUGAAGCCGCAUAAAUGACAAACGGUGUGUCUUCCUUAGACGAUUUUAUAAUCACUCUUGCUCCAAUGAAUAAGGAUUUUUCUAUUCGGGGUUUUUACUAGGCUUACUCUUGGGUGGUUUUGUGGGAAAGGUCAUCUUCCGUAACUUCCAAUCUAUGGAUGGGUUAUGCUUUUUCAACCAGGAAAGACUAAGAAUAACAGGAUUUGAUGGGGUUCUAAUAAUAUUAAAAAUAAUAUGACUACUAUGGCCCUUAAACGUCACUUCUAUAGGUUCUGAUUCAUGGAUGAUACUACCAGACAAAAAAGGUCGUCCAUCGAUGACCUCAACGUGAACAAGUUUGGAUUUUUGUACUAAAGGGAUCUUAUGACGCUUCGCAAAUUCUUCGUCUAAGAAACAAGCAGAUGCUCUUGAAUCUAAUAAUGCUAAGGUUCUCAAUUUUUGAGGGCCAAUAAGCAAAGGGAUUGCAAAGCAAAGAGCAAGUUGAGCGGAAAGAAAAGAAUCUAGUUGUUGUUGCGAUAUUUCAUUGUCCAGCCGCACGGUUCCUAUUGUGGUUGGGCAACCUCGUUUUCUUGAAUAAAAGUGCCUCUAGUCCUGAUAAUACAUCGAUUUUGCUUCUUGGGGUAGUUUCUAACUUUGUGGCCUUCUUCACAGCAAUACAAGCAUAGACCUUCCUCCAUAUGCCACUUUUUUCUUCUAGAGUAAGAGAUUUGACAUGUACCACAUUAAUUUGCAUGUCUUCUACCUUUGAAUGUGAAUUCAUGUUGCUUGCCAACAUAGUUGGGAUAUGACAAACCAUGUGUUAUCUUGAACGUUGGUCUUGGUGGCGUUGGAAUAGGCGGUUAUCACACUUCACAGCUUGACUAAUAGCUUUGUUGAGCGUUGUCGUAUUACGUGCUUUCCUGCUCGAGAACGCGUCGGGCGUCUGGCUGUAGAAGGUAGUAUGGAGAUUCGUCGAUAGUCAAGCAGUCUAUCAGUUUUUGACUGCUGGAAUAUAAACGACUGCAACAAUGUACCGUAAAUCUAUACGGGUGCUCUUCGACUGCUUGUCGAAGUCCUUUUUGCCCCAGCCGGUAGGUCUCUAGACGUUACAGAGAACCCCGUACAACCCAAACUGUUAACCUUCAAUACUGCUUUGUACUUACGAUCUUGUAUCCACUGACUGUCUUGUUAGAUUAAUCCAAUAAAUUUCAUUCACUCCGCAUACUCAAUCCUAUAGACACCCUUUUAAUCCUUCAAUCACAGACGUAACUCGAUUUCACAAAACAGUCAAGAGUAUUCAAAUUUACUUCAUUUAAAAAUCCCGAUUCACCAUUACAACACUGACUUCAGCAGCGAUUGCCUCAGUCUUCCCCAAAACUCUACGAAGAAGAAAAAUUCAAAUCCUAUGUCUUUCCUUCCCCGACCCGAAGCAUGAAGCUCCUCUCUCUAAUUCCCUUGAUCUUCCAAAAACCUCCAAUGAAAAAUCCAACUGGUAACCUUCCAAAAGCUUGAAAACUCGCUCCCCCCUCGAUUUCCCUCAAAAAAAAACCCCCCUCAAAACUAUAUCCCACCUAACCUUAUCCUCUGAACUUCUUCAAUCUUCCGUCUUAGAUCCGGAAUUGGCUCCCACCUCAAGCUUGGAUCCGAAAUUGGCUCUCGCCGCCAAGCUUUCUCCUCCGUUUUUACCUUUAAGAAAUCCAUUUACCGAAAACAACGUUCACUGAGACGGCACAGAGAAUAGGACAGCCUGAAACAGAAUCGAACCCCGUAAUCGGGACCACAUUGAGUCGCCCGACCAAUUCAGGUCCUAUAUUGGUAAAGAUACCCGUAGUAACCUGGAUGUUCCCGUAAUUGGGUCAAAUUGGUCCUCGCGUCAGAUUGGCUAAGAUCCGUAGUAAGACCUGGAUUUCCCGUAACUAGGUCAAAAUGGUCCUUCUCUUCAUGCAGACUCCCGUUAUUAGAAUCGAAUGGAGCAUUUCAGUAUGCCCCGGCAGACUGUAACGGAGUGACUGAACCUGACCACUCAGUAUUUGCACUGGAGUUGGUCGAUGCUCCCAAUAUUCGAGGUAGCUGAAUAUUAAUAAAAUUCUCCUUUCAUUUUAUUUUCACUGUAUACUCGUGUUACAACACGACAUCCACCCCCUCUGAACCUAUGCAUCCUCCGGUAUGCACCAAUUUACCCAAUUGCUGUUUGAUUCAGAAUAUAUCUUCUACGUCUUUGUCUAGCUCGUCUUUGUCACCUUCAUUAUCCAAAUCACUUUCAUCUUCUUGCUGCGGAAUCUCUAUACCUUCAUUAAGGUCUUCCAUAUUCAUCUCUGCGUGUCUUCGUUUAAAUAUUUUUACUCGCUUCCCUACAAUUGGUAUUUUCAAUUUUAUACCAUCUAACUCCCGUAAUGAGUAAGUCGCAUUACCAUAAACAGUUGUUACCACAUAUGGUCCAAACCAACGUUUUGAGAAUUUCCGCAAAGUACUAUAUUGAUUAUCCAGACUAUUGUCAUAAACAAGUACCCAGUCACCUUCCUCGAUUGCUUUUGGUCUCAAUCGAUGUUGCUUAUCGAAUCGCGCCUUGUUUUGUAACCUUGCUCUUUUUAACCUUUCCAAUGCUAUCUGGACAUCUUCCGUUUUUUGCUCCAAUUGUCGAAUCCUAAUAGCCAGAAGUUCUUCUCUUGUCAAUCCAUCUUCCCAUGGUAGCAUACUCCAAGUGAGUACCUUUUUCUUCAAUCGACAUAAUUGGUUUUUGACCUGUCAUAAGUUCUACUGGCAUAUAUCCUGUCACCGAACUAUGUGUUGUUCAAUCAGCCCAUAAUACAAAUGACAAUAGCCGUGGACACUCUUUAACUUUCCCAUUACAAGCUUUAACCAAUGCUUUCACAAUCGACGGGUGACCGCGUUUGCUUUUUGCAUUCCCUUCCGGAUUAUAAGCAGUAGUCAGUGAUAGUUUAACUCCACAUCUUUCAAAGAACUUACGAGCUUCUUGUGCAUUUAAUUCUCUACGAUCUGCAGUGAUUUUUCCUACGCACCCGUAACGGCAAAUGACAUCUUCAAGCAAAAACCUACAAAUCCCCUCUGUAGAUUUUGUCCUCAAUGCUCUUCCUUCUACUUGAUUUGAUAAAUCUUCACGAGCUAAGAUCAAAUAUCUCAUCUGCCAUAACCCAACUGGCAUAAUAACCAAAUCAACAACCCAUUUAAAAUGAAUAGCCAGAGGAUACGUAGGAUGAAGACCAUCUCGAUGUCGGAUAUUAGAAUACGAUUGACAGAUUUUACAUGACUCUACAAAUGAGAGCACAUCUUGAUACAUAUUUUUCUACCAAAUAAUCCUUUUCAGCUUUCAUAGCCGAAACGACUUCCCAAAGUUCUCUUUUGACUUACGAAUAUGCACGCUGAUGAAUACUUAAAACUUUAGCUCCAAAUCGAACUGCAAAUCUACUCCCAUUUGAAUCAUCUUGAUCCACAGCCCAUCUAAUGGCAAUUGGACUAGUGUCCAUAAUAAGAAUCACUGGUCUAUUGCACUUAUAAUCAACCUUCUUUAAUAUUGGAGGUAACAUCAAUAAUUUCUUGAAUCUUUGCAUUGCCUGAAUAUGCCUUUCUUCCCAUUUAAAUCGGUAACCCUUGCGUAACAGUUCAUAUAAUGGAUCCGCUAUGUGAGCAAAAUGAGGGAUCCAGAUUCGAUAAAAUACAUAUGCACCCAUAAACCUGCGAACCUCUGUUAAAGAACCACAAUCCUCUUUCAUCCUUCCAAUUGCAUCAACUUUAGUCGGAUCUGGUUUUCUUCCGUAAGAUCCGCAUAAAUGUCCAACAAUUACAACCUCUCGCACUCCAAAUACGGACUUCAUACCCGAUAAUGUAAGAUGAACUUCUCCAAGCCGAGUUAAAAUCUUUUCACAAUCUUGUAUAUGAUCAACAACAUAUCUGCGACACCCCCUCGUAUCUAAAGUUUCAUCCUUGUCUCCUUCUUUGCACCCUUUUAUAGGAACAUCAUCCAGAAAAGGCAUAGUCUUUUCCGGGAUAAAAUCUCUCAAUACCUUAUUCAUUCCAUUCAUCAUAUGCGCAACUGAGUUGGUCGUGCCUUGAGGAAGAGUGCACAUUCUAACCAAUCCAAGCGGUGUCCUCAUCGUUGUCAUAUCUCUACUUCCUUCGGCAAGUUGAAAUUGAUCAUAACCUGAAUACAAAUCACCCAUUGAAUAGAUCGCCCUUCCAGCAAACGCCUCAGCAAAUUCAUCCACAAUAGGUCUAAUUUCUGCAUUCCUGACAGUUACAGCAUUCACCGACUGCAUAUCUUGAAUAAACCGCAGUGACCCAUUCUUCUUAGGUACCGUAAACCAUCGACUAGAAUCUGGCGCAAAUGAAGGUUCCAAUAUUUUCAUCUUUAUCUUUUCUUUCAAUAGUUCCACCAAUUUAGGUAAAUAUGCCCUCGGUACUAAAAUCGGUCUUAGAUUCCAAGGUACAUGCGGUACAGUGAAGAUAACCAUAGGUGUUAUAAUAUUUGGAUCCACACACCCAAUUUCAUGAGAUUCGAAGGCAAACGAUCUACCUUGUUUAGCCAACAUCUUUUUGAAGCAAGUAAUUUCCUCCGGUAAUAAAGAACCAUCAGAACCAAUCUUCAAUUCUUCAAAAGUCUCUUUAGUAAACUGAUGUCCAAUACUCAUUGGAUCUCUUAAACUUUCUUCUUUAGAUGCUUCUCACAUUUGUUCCUUAGAAUCUUCUCAUAAUGGUUCAGCAACAUACUUUAUCUUCUUAUUUACCGUUUUAUAUCUCGUCUCUACAGUGACUUCGGGUGCAUGAAAAGAUUUAAGCAUGGUAUAAACCUCUCUCGAAUGAAUCUCAACAAUCUUAUCAUUAUCCCCUAACCCAAUAGAUGUAAUCAAUUCCAAUGAAUCUUCCAGUCCAUUUUCUUCAUAAACACCCAAAAUCCUCUCAUCAUCUUGCAAUGUACCUAUCUUGCGUAAGUGUCCUUCAAUAUUAUAUAAUCUUUUUCUUUCUUUUCUUUUAAAAUCAUUAACUUUCUUAUACAUAAUAUUUCCAUUCUCCAAUAUACCAAUAAAACUCACAUCAAAGGCACCUUCAUCUCGCGAGAGUACCUCCUCUUUUGUACCUCUAUAAUCUCGCUUUACAGUGGUACCUCUCUAAAAUCCUUAAAUCCUUCAACAAUCUUUGGCAAUGGUUUCUCCCUCAACCUAUCUCGAUUCCGUUCAUGGUUAGGAGGUACUGUUAGAAAUUGUACAGCUUUCCUCCCAUCUUCGCUCCGUACCCUUGCAUAAGCAGAACCAUCGUCAAGUACUUUUGUUUCCAUCCGUGUUGCCGUGAUAUAAGGUUGUCCUAAAAUCAACGGAUAAGACGUUGUAUCUUGAACGAAGAAAUGUUGCUCCGUCACAACAUCCCCAAUCCGAAUUUUGACAUCUGGACAAGUUCCAUAUAAUUCGCCCCGUGUGUUAUUAGCUGCUCGUAUUGCCCAUCCAUGUUCCAUAUCAAUUGGCCAUUUUUGCUUCUUAUAAAGAUCUUUAGACAUGAGAUUUAUUUCAGAACCAUGGUUGACUAAAGCAACUAUUGGUUCUUCUAUAUCUCCUACCUUCAUCAAUACCUCAGUAGUUGCCCUUGCCCAAUGCUUUCGAGUAUAAUGGCUCAAAGUUUUCAUUUCCUUGUCACUAGAAUCUUCGAAAUGUACUCGCUGAUUAUACCCAUUCUUUUCAUUUGUUGGUUGCUUGUAACCAAUAUCAACCUCUUCUUCAUCUCUACAUAUUCUUGCAUCAAUGGCAUGACUCAUUCCAGUUUCGCCCAUUAAUUGCCUCUUUCGCUUAAUGCUGUCAAUGAUAACAUCAUGAAACUCCUUAUUUGCAAUUUCCAAGACUUCUUUCAAUGUGAAUUCCACCUUAGCGUUUAAUAUACGUUCUUCCAACAUCCCUUUCAAAUUUGUUGCCGCUUCAAUGUCAGAAAGUAGCUUAUAAGCAAUUGAUUUGCCCUUAUCUUUUGUCUUCGUUGUUUUUUCUCCCAAUGAUGCUGAGGUAUUCUUUACAGACAAUUCUUGUGAAGCUGCCUCCCGAGCCUUGUCUCCUCGAGUUUGUCUCUUAAAAGAAUUUCCUUCUCUAAUAUCAUCAAAAUUUCCUCGUCUCUUUUCUUCCAUCAAAGCUUCAUGUUGGCUCUUAGCAAUAUAUGCAUGAACUGAAAGAGACUCAACAGGAUCCUCCCAACCUGUUCUACCUCAUAUUGUAGCUGCAGUUCUCAAUAACGCUUCUCGAGGUAAUUUCCCUUCUUGCAUUGUAGAAACGGCAGAAGUCCAAAACUCACUAGUUUCCGUACUUCCACCAAUUUCAUCAUCUACUCUAGCACCAUAACUUGCACUUUCUCGUACUACUGUUUCAUGCUCUUUUAAGUAAUCUUGAACCAAUGCUCUCAUUCUUCCCUUGCCAAAAUUGGUUUGAAGAAGAUCCUCCCUAUCUUUCAAUACUAUCUUCCCAUCUUUCCAGCAAAUAAUUCCCUGCCGUAUCAUAUUAUUAAAUUCAUUGCAAUCUUUUCUAGUGUGUGAAGCAUCAUCACACCAAAUGCAUCUUUGUACAUAUCCUUGUUUUGAAACAUUCUUCGAAUUGUUUAUAGAAGUAUUCUCUUCAAGUCUUGCUAAUUUGAUUUGAAGAUCUCGCAUUCCUCGUAUAAUUUCUUCCAUACCCAUAUCUGCUUUCUUUGACAAGGAUGUCGAAGGUUGAAUUGUAGGCAUUGUUGGUGGUGUUGUACGUACUGGAGCUUUGGGUGCUUGUACUGUUUUCGGAAUAUUGCUCCUAUCCUUCCUCCUUUCUUUUUUUGUAAGCAACCCCACCGCAUCUUCAACGUUCUUCCACUUCGUUGUCAAUCCUUCAUCUUCUUCUUUGUCUUCAAGAAGGGGUUCUAAUUUCUCUUGCAAUUCUCCAUCAGCAGCUUGAAGAAAUAGAUCAACUUUGUUCGGCUCCAAUGUCAAUUUUUCUACCUUCGAUAAUUGAGAGUACUGCCUUUCAAAUUCCCUUAGUAGCUCUGUUGCUUGCAAAUUCUUAUUGGGCCGUUCAAUCCAUCCCAGAAACAGCUUCUUAGUAACGCGAUCAGCAUCUUCCAAGAAAUAUUCGUCUUUCAAUGCAUGUGAAAAAUCCUCCCAUGAAUUCCCAUAACGAUCCGUAAUCGAUGUAAUGUGGUCCCUUAUCUCCGGUAUCGUGGCAAGUCUAAAUAGUGCAACCAUUUUCUUCUCAGAAACCCGAUUUAAUUCCAUUUCACGAACAUAACAUCUUAAAUACCUUGAAAUAUUCCUCCCAUCAAAUUGAUCAAUUUUAUUGACCACUGCUUGCAAUGCUUUGGUUGCCAAAGCUUCCUUUCGUUCAUUGUUUUGCUGUUGUUGCAUUGACAAUGAGAAGGCUUGAAACAAACUAGCAAUAGAUGGAUCGAUGUGCAUACCUUGUUUUUUAGAAGACUCCCCACCAGAAACUUCUCCCAAAAAUCCUUCAAAAUUUUUAUUUUCGUUUUCCAUAAAAAUAAAGAUAAAGUCAACCGAAAUCCAAUACCUUCUACCUCAAGCUUUCACGUCGGGUUCAUCACUUAUGUCGUAUUACGUGCUUUCCUGCUUGAGAAUGCGCCGGGCAUCUGGCUGUAGAAGGUAGUAUGGAGAUUCGCCGAUAGUCAAGCAGUCUAUCAGUUUUUGACUGCUGGAAUAUAAACGACUGCAACAAUGUACCAUAAAUCUAUACGAGUGCUCUUCGACUGCUUGUCGAAGUCCUUUUUGCCCCAGCCGGUAGGUCUCUAGACGUUACAGAGAACCCCGUACAACCCAAACUGUUAACCUUCAAUACUGCUUUGUACUUACGAUCUUGUAUCCACUGACUGUCUUGUUAGAUUAAUCCAAUAAAUUUCAUUCACUCCGCAUACUCAAUCCUAUAGACACCCUUUUAAUCCUUCAAUCACAGACGUAACUCGAUUUCACAAAACAGUCAAGAGUAUUCAAACCCACUUCAUUUAAAAAUCCCGAUUCACCAUUACAACACUGACUUCUACAAUGAUUGCCUCAGUAGUCCACCGUAUUUCUAAAUGCCGCGAACCAAAUCACUUUCAUCUUCUUGCUGCGGAAUCUCUAUACCUUCAUUAAGGUCUUCCAUAUUCAUCUCUGCGUGUCUUCGUUUAAAUAUUUUUACUCGCUUCCCUACAAUUGGUAUUUUCAAUUUUAUACCAUCUAACUCCCGUAAUGAGUAAGUCGCAUUACCAUAAACAGUUGUUACCACAUAUGGUCCAAACCAACGUUUUGAGAAUUUCCGCAAAGUACUAUAUUGAUUAUCCAGACUAUUGUCAUAAACAAGUACCCAGUCACCUUCCUCGAUUGCUUUUGGUCUCAAUCGAUGUUGCUUAUCGAAUCGCGCCUUGUUUUGUAACCUUGCUCUUUUUAACCUUUCCAAUGCUAUCUGGACAUCUUCCGUUUUUUGCUCCAAUUGUCGAAUCCUAAUAGCCAGAAGUUCUUCUCUUGUCAAUCCAUCUUCCCAUGGUAGCAUACUCCAAGUGAGUACCUUUUUCUUCAAUCGACAUAAUUGGUUUUUGACCUGUCAUAAGUUCUACUGGCAUAUAUCCUGUCACCGAACUAUGUGUUGUUCAAUCAGCCCAUAAUACAAAUGACAAUAGCCGUGGACACUCUUUAACUUUCCCAUUACAAGCUUUAACCAAUGCUUUCACAAUCGACGGGUGACCGCGUUUGCUUUUUGCAUUCCCUUCCGGAUUAUAAGCAGUAGUCAGUGAUAGUUUAACUCCACAUCUUUCAAAGAACUUACGAGCUUCUUGUGCAUUUAAUUCUCUACGAUCUGCAGUGAUUUUUCCUACGCACCCGUAACGGCAAAUGACAUCUUCAAGCAAAAACCUACAAAUCCCCUCUGUAGAUUUUGUCCUCAAUGCUCUUCCUUCUACUUGAUUUGAUAAAUCUUCACGAGCUAAGAUCAAAUAUCUCAUCUGCCAUAACCCAACUGGCAUAAUAACCAAAUCAACAACCCAUUUAAAAUGAAUAGCCAGAGGAUACGUAGGAUGAAGACCAUCUCGAUGUCGGAUAUUAGAAUACGAUUGACAGAUUUUACAUGACUCUACAAAUGAGAGCACAUCUUGAUACAUANNNNNNNNNNNNNNNNNNNNNNNNNNNNNNNNNNNNNNNNNNNNNNNNNNNNNNNNNNNNNNNNNNNNNNNNNNNNNNNNNNNNNNNNNNNNNNNNNNNNNNNNNNNNNNNNNNNNNNNNNNNNNNNNNNNNNNNNNNNNNNNNNNNNNNNNNNNNNNNNNNNNNNNNNNNNNNNNNNNNNNNNNNNNNNNNNNNNNNNNNNNNNNNNNNNNNNNNNNNNNNNNNNNNNNNNNNNNNNNNNNNNNNNNNNNNNNNNNNNNNNNNNNNNNNNNNNNNNNNNNNNNNNNNNNNNNNNNNNNNNNNNNNNNNNNNNNNNNNNNNNNNNNNNNNNNNNNNNNNNNNNNNNNNNNNNNNNNNNNNNNNNNNNNNNNNNNNNNNNNNNNNNNNNNNNNNNNNNNNNNNNNNNNNNNNNNNNNNNNNNNNNNNNNNNNNNNNNNNNNNNNNNNNNNNNNNNNNNNNNNNNNNNNNNNNNNNNNNNNNNNNNNNNNNNNNNNNNNNNNNNNNNNNNNNNNNNNNNNNNNNNNNNNNNNNNNNNNNNNNNNNNNNNNNNNNNNNNNNNNNNNNNNNNNNNNNNNNNNNNNNNNNNNNNNNNNNNNNNNNNNNNNNNNNNNNNNNNNNNNNNNNNNNNNNNNNNNNNNNNNNNNNNNNNNNNNNNNNNNNNNNNNNNNNNNNNNNNNNNNNNNNNNNNNNNNNNNNNNNNNNNNNNNNNNNNNNNNNNNNNNNNNNNNNNNNNNNNNNNNNNNNNNNNNNNNNNNNNNNNNNNNNNNNNNNNNNNNNNNNNNNNNNNNNNNNNNNNNNNNNNNNNNNNNNNNNNNNNNNNNNNNNNNNNNNNNNNNNNNNNNNNNNNNNNNNNNNNNNNNNNNNNNNNNNNNNNNNNNNNNNNNNNNNNNNNNNNNNNNNNNNNNNNNNNNNNNNNNNNNNNNNNNNNNNNNNNNNNNNNNNNNNNNNNNNNNNNNNNNNNNNNNNNNNNNNNNNNNNNNNNNNNNNNNNNNNNNNNNNNNNNNNNNNNNNNNNNNNNNNNNNNNNNNNNNNNNNNNNNNNNNNNNNNNNNNNNNNNNNNNNNNNNNNNNNNNNNNNNNNNNNNNNNNNNNNNNNNNNNNNNNNNNNNNNNNNNNNNNNNNNNNNNNNNNNNNNNNNNNNNNNNNNNNNNNNNNNNNNNNNNNNNNNNNNNNNNNNNNNNNNNNNNNNNNNNNNNNNNNNNNNNNNNNNNNNNNNNNNNNNNNNNNNNNNNNNNNNNNNNNNNNNNNNNNNNNNNNNNNNNNNNNNNNNNNNNNNNNNNNNNNNNNNNNNNNNNNNNNNNNNNNNNNNNNNNNNNNNNNNNNNNNNNNNNNNNNNNNNNNNNNNNNNNNNNNNNNNNNNNNNNNNNNNNNNNNNNNNNNNNNNNNNNNNNNNNNNNNNNNNNNNNNNNNNNNNNNNNNNNNNNNNNNNNNNNNNNNNNNNNNNNNNNNNNNNNNNNNNNNNNNNNNNNNNNNNNNNNNNNNNNNNNNNNNNNNNNNNNNNNNNNNNNNNNNNNNNNNNNNNNNNNNNNNNNNNNNNNNNNNNNNNNNNNNNNNNNNNNNNNNNNNNNNNNNNNNNNNNNNNNNNNNNNNNNNNNNNNNNNNNNNNNNNNNNNNNNNNNNNNNNNNNNNNNNNNNNNNNNNNNNNNNNNNNNNNNNNNNNNNNNNNNNNNNNNNNNNNNNNNNNNNNNNNNNNNNNNNNNNNNNNNNNNNNNNNNNNNNNNNNNNNNNNNNNNNNNNNNNNNNNNNNNNNNNNNNNNNNNNNNNNNNNNNNNNNNNNNNNNNNNNNNNNNNNNNNNNNNNNNNNNNNNNNNNNNNNNNNNNNNNNNNNNNNNNNNNNNNNNNNNNNNNNNNNNNNNNNNNNNNNNNNNNNNNNNNNNNNNNNNNNNNNNNNNNNNNNNNNNNNNNNNNNNNNNNNNNNNNNNNNNNNNNNNNNNNNNNNNNNNNNNNNNNNNNNNNNNNNNNNNNNNNNNNNNNNNNNNNNNNNNNNNNNNNNNNNNNNNNNNNNNNNNNNNNNNNNNNNNNNNNNNNNNNNNNNNNNNNNNNNNNNNNNNNNNNNNNNNNNNNNNNNNNNNNNNNNNNNNNNNNNNNNNNNNNNNNNNNNNNNNNNNNNNNNNNNNNNNNNNNNNNNNNNNNNNNNNNNNNNNNNNNNNNNNNNNNNNNNNNNNNNNNNNNNNNNNNNNNNNNNNNNNNNNNNNNNNNNNNNNNNNNNNNNNNNNNNNNNNNNNNNNNNNNNNNNNNNNNNNNNNNNNNNNNNNNNNNNNNNNNNNNNNNNNNNNNNNNNNNNNNNNNNNNNNNNNNNNNNNNNNNNNNNNNNNNNNNNNNNNNNNNNNNNNNNNNNNNNNNNNNNNNNNNNNNNNNNNNNNNNNNNNNNNNNNNNNNNNNNNNNNNNNNNNNNNNNNNNNNNNNNNNNNNNNNNNNNNNNNNNNNNNNNNNNNNNNNNNNNNNNNNNNNNNNNNNNNNNNNNNNNNNNNNNNNNNNNNNNNNNNNNNNNNNNNNNNNNNNNNNNNNNNNNNNNNNNNNNNNNNNNNNNNNNNNNNNNNNNNNNNNNNNNNNNNNNNNNNNNNNNNNNNNNNNNNNNNNNNNNNNNNNNNNNNNNNNNNNNNNNNNNNNNNNNNNNNNNNNNNNNNNNNNNNNNNNNNNNNNNNNNNNNNNNNNNNNNNNNNNNNNNNNNNNNNNNNNNNNNNNNNNNNNNNNNNNNNNNNNNNNNNNNNNNNNNNNNNNNNNNNNNNNNNNNNNNNNNNNNNNNNNNNNNNNNNNNNNNNNNNNNNNNNNNNNNNNNNNNNNNNNNNNNNNNNNNNNNNNNNNNNNNNNNNNNNNNNNNNNNNNNNNNNNNNNNNNNNNNNNNNNNNNNNNNNNNNNNNNNNNNNNNNNNNNNNNNNNNNNNNNNNNNNNNNNNNNNNNNNNNNNNNNNNNNNNNNNNNNNNNNNNNNNNNNNNNNNNNNNNNNNNNNNNNNNNNNNNNNNNNNNNNNNNNNNNNNNNNNNNNNNNNNNNNNNNNNNNNNNNNNNNNNNNNNNNNNNNNNNNNNNNNNNNNNNNNNNNNNNNNNNNNNNNNNNNNNNNNNNNNNNNNNNNNNNNNNNNNNNNNNNNNNNNNNNNNNNNNNNNNNNNNNNNNNNNNNNNNNNNNNNNNNNNNNNNNNNNNNNNNNNNNNNNNNNNNNNNNNNNNNNNNNNNNNNNNNNNNNNNNNNNNNNNNNNNNNNNNNNNNNNNNNNNNNNNNNNNNNNNNNNNNNNNNNNNNNNNNNNNNNNNNNNNNNNNNNNNNNNNNNNNNNNNNNNNNNNNNNNNNNNNNNNNNNNNNNNNNNNNNNNNNNNNNNNNNNNNNNNNNNNNNNNNNNNNNNNNNNNNNNNNNNNNNNNNNNNNNNNNNNNNNNNNNNNNNNNNNNNNNNNNNNNNNNNNNNNNNNNNNNNNNNNNNNNNNNNNNNNNNNNNNNNNNNNNNNNNNNNNNNNNNNNNNNNNNNNNNNNNNNNNNNNNNNNNNNNNNNNNNNNNNNNNNNNNNNNNNNNNNNNNNNNNNNNNNNNNNNNNNNNNNNNNNNNNNNNNNNNNNNNNNNNNNNNNNNNNNNNNNNNNNNNNNNNNNNNNNNNNNNNNNNNNNNNNNNNNNNNNNNNNNNNNNNNNNNNNNNNNNNNNNNNNNNNNNNNNNNNNNNNNNNNNNNNNNNNNNNNNNNNNNNNNNNNNNNNNNNNNNNNNNNNNNNNNNNNNNNNNNNNNNNNNNNNNNNNNNNNNNNNNNNNNNNNNNNNNNNNNNNNNNNNNNNNNNNNNNNNNNNNNNNNNNNNNNNNNNNNNNNNNNNNNNNNNNNNNNNNNNNNNNNNNNNNNNNNNNNNNNNNNNNNNNNNNNNNNNNNNNNNNNNNNNNNNNNNNNNNNNNNNNNNNNNNNNNNNNNNNNNNNNNNNNNNNNNNNNNNNNNNNNNNNNNNNNNNNNNNNNNNNNNNNNNNNNNNNNNNNNNNNNNNNNNNNNNNNNNNNNNNNNNNNNNNNNNNNNNNNNNNNNNNNNNNNNNNNNNNNNNNNNNNNNNNNNNNNNNNNNNNNNNNNNNNNNNNNNNNNNNNNNNNNNNNNNNNNNNNNNNNNNNNNNNNNNNNNNNNNNNGUUCUUCACUUCGUUGUAAUCCUUCAUCUUCUUCUUUGUCUUCAGAAGGGGUUCUAAUUUCUCUUGCAAUUCUCCAUCAGCAGCUUGAAGAAAUAGAUCAACUUUGUUCGGCUCCAAUGUCAAUUUUUCUACCUUCGAUAAUUGAGAGUACUGCCUUUCAAAUUCCCUUAGUAGCUCUGUUGCUUGCAAAUUCUUAUUGGGCCGUUCAAUCCAUCCCAGAAACAGCUUCUUAGUAACGCGAUCAGCAUCUUCCAAGAAAUAUUCGUCUUUCAAUGCAUGUGAAAAAUCCUCCCAUGAAUUCCCAUAACGAUCCGUAAUCGAUGUAAUGUGGUCCCUUAUCUCCGGUAUCGUGGCAAGUCUAAAUAGUGCAACCAUUUUCUUCUCAGAAACCCGAUUUAAUUCCAUUUCACGAACAUAACAUCUUAAAUACCUUGAAAUAUUCCUCCCAUCAAAUUGAUCAAUUUUAUUGACCACUGCUUGCAAUGCUUUGGUUGCCAAAGCUUCCUUUCGUUCAUUGUUUUGCUGUUGUUGCAUUGACAAUGAGAAGGCUUGAAACAAACUAGCAAUAGAUGGAUCGAUGUGCAUACCUUGUUUUUUAGAAGACUCCCCACCAGAAACUUCUCCCAAAAAUCCUUCAAAAUUUUUAUUUUCGUUUUCCAUAAAAAUAAAGAUAAAGUCAACCGAAAUCCAAUACCUUCUACCUCAAGCUUUCACGUCGGGUUCAUCACUUAUGUCGUAUUACGUGCUUUCCUGCUUGAGAAUGCGCCGGGCAUCUGGCUGUAGAAGGUAGUAUGGAGAUUCGCCGAUAGUCAAGCAGUCUAUCAGUUUUUGACUGCUGGAAUAUAAACGACUGCAACAAUGUACCAUAAAUCUAUACGAGUGCUCUUCGACUGCUUGUCGAAGUCCUUUUUGCCCCAGCCGGUAGGUCUCUAGACGUUACAGAGAACCCCGUACAACCCAAACUGUUAACCUUCAAUACUGCUUUGUACUUACGAUCUUGUAUCCACUGACUGUCUUGUUAGAUUAAUCCAAUAAAUUUCAUUCACUCCGCAUACUCAAUCCUAUAGACACCCUUUUAAUCCUUCAAUCACAGACGUAACUCGAUUUCACAAAACAGUCAAGAGUAUUCAAACCCACUUCAUUUAAAAAUCCCGAUUCACCAUUACAACACUGACUUCAGCAGCGAUUGCCUCAGUCUUUCCCAAAACUCUACGAAGAAGAAAAAUCCAAAUCUUAUGUCUUUCCUUCCCCGACCCGAAGCAUGAAGCUCCUCUCUCUAAUUCCCUUGAUCUUCCAAAAACCUCCAAUGAAAAAUCCAACUGGUAACCUUCCAAAAGCUUGAAAACUCGCUCCCCCCUCGAUUUCCCCUCAAAAAAAAAUCCCCCUCAAAACUAUAUCCCACCUAACCUUAUCCUCUGAACUUCUUCAAUCUUCCGUCUUAGAUCCGGAAUUGGCUCCCACCUCAAGCUUGGAUCCGAAAUUGGCUCUCGCCGCCAAGCUUUCUCCUCCGUUUUUACCUUUAAGAAAUCCAUUUACCGAAAACAACGUUCACUGAGAUGGCACAGAGAACAGGACAGCCUGAAACAGAAUCGAACCCCGUAAUCGGGACCACAUUGAGUCGCCCGACCAAUUCAGGUCCUAUAUUGGUAAAGAUACCCGUAGUAACCUGGAUGUUCCCGUAAUUGGGUCAAAUUGGUCCUCGCGUCAGAUUGGCUAAGACCCGUAGUAAGACCUGGAUUUCCCGUAACUGGGUCAAAUUGGUCCUUCUCUUCCUGCUGACUCCCAUUAUUAGAAUCGAACGGGGCAUUUCAGUAUGCCCCGGCUGACUGUAACGGAGUCACUGAACCUGACCACUCAGUAUUUGUACUGGAGUUGGUCGAUGUUCCCAAUAUUCGAGGUAACUGAAUAUUAAUAAAAUUCCCCUUUCUUUUUAUUUUCACUGUAUACUCGUGUUACAACACGACAGCGUUUACAGAUUAGAAAGAGUUAACAACAAAUCCUUCACAUCAUCCCUUAAAUCCCAAUAGAAUUGACUUAUCAAUGCUUCUUCAUCCCAAUUGAUGUCGCAUGCUAAUUCCCUGAAGUCCAAUGCAUAGAUUGAUGUAAAGCGCAUCCCUUGUCGUAGUGAUCGGAUCUUUGUUGUAGCCCAUCGAACCUUGUUGUGUUCACCAAAUGCUUCUGCAAAUGCCUCCAAAAAGGUUUCAAAGUUAUUUAGUAUGGACGAUCGUUUUUCAAACAAAGGAGCAAACCAUGAUAGAGCUUGCCCUGAAAGUAAGGUUCCAACAAGUCCAACAUGCGACUCCUCCGUUGGAUUGCAUUCGGGCUGUAAAAUUGUUAUCAAUCUCAUUUAGUUGAUGAAUCCUCGAAACUUGGAAUGCAUACCAUCGAACUUGUCCGGAAGGCUAACUCGGGGCUCUUUAUGUUGUAGAACCAGCGGUGCUUGUCGAAACUGAGGCAAAUUUGCUUCUCCCAGUGCAGAAGUUUGAGGUUGGUGCAACCUAGAUAGUGCCAUCCCAGUUGCUCCAUCAUUAUGAAGCCAUCAUCUAAGUACUAUGUCCCUAACAACUAUAAAGUCAAACUAGUCCCAUUGAGGGAAGAUGGAAUUUUUUCAACAUUUUUAUUUAUAAGUCCAAGAAAACUUUGAUUGAUAUGCAAAGAUCUAAGUCUAAGUUCCUUCUUAAUUGCAACUACAAAUUAACUUCUUAAGAUUGUGUGGCAUAAUCAAUAAGAUAAUCAAUAUUUCUAUUAGCAAUAUACUUUAAGUUCUUCUCUUCCAUGACUCAUCUUAGAUGGUUGCCAGGUAUGAACACAAUGAAUAGCUCCAAUAAUUAGUUAUAAUCACUUUUGUAAUUUUUAAUAUAUAUUUAUUAAUUUUAAUACUAAAAUAAUUAACUAAUGAAUCCAAAUUAGUUUUUUAAUGAAUGAUGAUUUUUAUUUUUAUUUUUUGAUUAAUAAUUAGAUAGAUACUUCUAAUUAUUUGAUUGAUUGAUUAUCAAAAAUUCUAAAUAUAAUAAAUUUAGAAGAUUUAUGAUUUUUUUUAUUUGAUUUAAAUUUUUUUUAAUACUAAAAGUAAUAUUUUAAAAGAAAUUUUCUUUUAAUUUCAAGGAAUUAUAUCUUAAAUUAAUCCACAAUCUUAAUAUUCAAUCUAAGGCUAAUCUCUAAUUUGACAAUGGUAAGAAAUCUCUCAAAUCUAAUUGUUCUUUCUAAUUAAUUUUAAUAUUUUAAAAAUUAAAUUCUAUUUUUUAAUUUAAAAUAAAUAAAAAAUAAAAUUUUUAAUAUUAAAUUAAUAAUGAUCUUUAAAAUAUUGUGAUAAGCUAUUCUUUGUGGUAGAAUUUCUUCUCUUGGUGAUUUUAAUCACUAUCUGAAGUUAAAAAAAAACAAAAAAUAAAAUCAAAAAUCAAAAUCAAAGCGUAUUAAUUUAAGACCAAAUCACAAUUGGGAUUUUGAUUUGCCAGGAGUUCAUGCCUAAGAGAGUUUAAAUUGAAGAAUGAUAAUCAUAAUAGCCUUGAUGGUAACAAUCCUUAUUGAUCUCUUAAAUAAAUUAAUUAGAAUUAAAAUUAUAAUUAAAGUUUACAACUAGAUUAAAAAAUCAAUGGAUUUUAAUACUUUAGAAUUUCGAUUUGGGCAUGUGAAUAGUCAAUUUUAGAAUUAAAAUAUAUUUUGGAUAUAUUGGUGGUAUUAAUUUUGUCAAGAAGGCAUUAGUUUUUGAGUUAUAGGCACUUUUAGCCUUGAAAUCGGAUAUAGGCUUAGGAUUAUCAUUGAAAUACUUGUUAAGACGAAAAAUGCUAUGUUAUAAGUCCAAGAGUAAUUGAGGGAGGUAAAGGUUGCAAUUCAUCAACAUAAUUUAUUCCACAAGAAGGAACUAGAUUAAUAGAAAGUGAAGACAUAUGGAUGAUUGGAUGUGUUUGAACAUCUAUAUCAAAUCAUACUAUUAUUCUUAUAGUAGAAUAUUUUUUAUGCAUCAAAAAAUAAAUCAUUACCUUGGAUGGUUUUUGGAAAAAAAAUAAAACUUCAAGGAUAUAUCUAUAUGAUUUAACUUGCUAUUAAACUUCAACUAUAAAGCUACUUAACUCUAGGAUCAUCUAUGAAAAUAAUAUAGAAUUCAAGAGACCCUCAAUUUUAUAAACAUAAUAUUAUUUUUCAAAAUCUAAUCCAAUUAAGAAUAUCACUAACUUUGAAAAACUUCCAAAAAUUGAAUAUUAACUUCAUUGACAUAAACCAAUGCUUAGAAAUCUCUCUACAAGUUUGUUCUCAAAUCUUUUCCUUUGAUCUUCCAAAAAAUCUAAGAAUAUUCGUAGGUAUGUAAAUUUGUGCCUCAGGGCUGAUUUCGACCUAAGUUGAUAAUUGAUUCUCCAAGGAUCAAAAUUUAGUAAUUUGAGGUAAUUUUUGCUUGAACCUAUUCUUAAUUUCCAUCUAAAUAUGUCUUUAUUUAUAUUAUUUACUUUGAUUUGAGGCAUUUAUGCCUCUAUAGAGCAAAUAGAAGCUUUUUUCUAAAAUAUAACAUUAAGACUGAACUUUUUAUUACCUUUUGAUUAUUUAUCCUUAUUUUUCUACCACAACUUCUUACUAGGCUUUUCUAGAAUAACAUCCAUAUUUUUAUUUUUCACUACACACUUGUAUUAUUAUACAAAAAUCAGUGAAGAUAUUCAAACAAAGACAAAUAGAAUUAAAUAUAAAAGACCUUGUUGACGACAUAAAUUCUCAAUAUCUAUUGCUUAUACUAUUGAUCUUGCUUAAGAUUUUAUACACCACUUAACAACUAAGUUGGCAAUAAGCAUACAAAAUUUGAAGAUCAAACUUACCAAAUAGAAGAUCAAUCCUAAAUUCCACUUGAGUAUUGGCAAGCCUCCUACUCCAAUCUAAAUGUAAAACUUCUAGCACCAAUAUCUCCUCUUUGAACUAUUAAAUUGCUUCCAAAAUUCACCUAUAUUAUUAAAAAUCAAGUCUUAUUUCUAUAUAAAAAAAAUUACUUCAAUCUAAUUGACAAAUCGCUAAAGAUCUUAAAAAUACUCAAUGACCCUCAAACUCCAAUUCUUGAGAUGUCAAUCCACAAAAACCUUCACACUUUGAUCUAACUUUUUGAUUGACUUCAAAAUUUGCACACACAUUUAUAAUUAGUAUACCAACACUUAAUCCAAAAUUAACCUAUAUAUAUACCACAAAAUUCAAGAAAUCCUUAAUUGUAUAAAAAUAAUUUUAUUUCUCAAAAUCUAAACCAAUUAAAAAUAUUAUUAACUUUGAAAAUCCUCCAAAAUUGAAUAUUAAUUGAUUUAAAUAAAUACAAUGCUUAAAAUUUUCUUUACAAGUCUGCCCUCAUAUUCUACUCUUCAAUGUACCAAAGAAUCCCAAAAUUGCUACAAGUAAGUGGUUUUGUCCCUUGAGGUAUGAUUUCAAUCCAUGUUGACAACCAAUCACCUUCGGUAUCAAUAUUUGCUGGUUUAAAGUAAUUUUGAUUUAGAUCUAUUAAUAACUCUCUCUUAAAUAUUUCUAUAUCAAUUGCUUAUUUCAUUUAUUUUGAUUUGAGGAAGUUAUGCUCUUAUAUAGAAAAUCAAAGUACUUUCUCUAAAAGGCAGUAUUAACAAUAAACUUUUCAUUACCUUCCUAUCAAUUAUCUUUAUGUUUCUACUACAUCUUCUUACUAUACUCUUCUUUAAUACCAUCCAUGUUUUCAAUUUUUUCCAUAUAGUCGUAUUAAUGCAUAACAAUGUUUCAAGCAAUGAAUGCUAAGAGGGACUCGUUCAAAAAAGCCACCAAAAAAUGAAAGCUAUAACUAAACCUCCCUAAAUGAAGUGGCUUUAAUUCCUCUCACAAGUUAAUUAAAUUAAAUUUCUUAAGUUGAAUGAUAGAUUACCAUGCAUUUUUUUUUUUUUUCUUUUUUUUUUUUUGUCCAAAAAUCUAAUUGAUUUGUUUCUAAAAUGAUUAAAUAAUAUUAAAAUUUAAAUAUCAAUAAUUAAGACAAGGAUAAAAGCUAAAAAUUAAGUUGAAUAUGAAAUAACAUAAGAAUUAAAUGUUAAAAGUAAAAAAUAAAAUUGAAGUUAAAAAUUAAGUUGAAAAUAAAAAAUUAAAAUCAACAUAAAUAGUUAAAUUGGAAAUCAAAUAAUAUAAAGGUUAAAAGUUGAAAAUAAAAAGGUAAAUUUAAAAUUAAAAGUGAAGAAAAAACUGAAUAACAUAAGAAUAAAAAUUGAAGGUAGAAAGGUAAUUAAAAGGUAUAAAUUUAACAAAUAAUUACUAAGACAAGAUAAAAGGUUCAAUUAAUGUAAUACUAAUUAAAGAUAAUAAGAUGAGUGAAGAGUUCAUUUGGGAAACUCAUGCAUUAUAAAGUAUAAUUAUGAGGUGAUUAGGGAAGAAAAGCUUACCUUCAUCAUGCUGAAUUGAGGCAACAAUUCCUUACAAAUUGAAAAUCUGUCAAAAUCUUCUUUAGCUUCUAUAUGUGUGAGUUUUUAUUUUUUAUUUUUUAUUUUUUUUUCUGAACCUUCACUUAGAUGAGCUCCUAUCCCCCAAUUUUUGCAAUAUUCCAGUAUGCGAUGGUUGAAGUGUGAUUUUUCAAAGUUGGACUCUCAAAUCUACCAAGGCAGCUAAAAUUUGCAUUUAAAAAUUCACUAAUAAUUCAUAAAAGCGUCAAAAAUUCCAACUUAAAUUUUCUUUGGAACUAGACCUUAAGAUGCCUCUAUUACAACAGUUUUCACAAAAAGAUCUCUAACAAGAACUACGCUAUGAAAUUCUAAGCUAACUCUAUUACAUUGCCCUUUGUACCAUCCAACUGCAAAUUCUUUCUUACUCAAAAAUUUACUUAAAAUUUAUUAAAGCUUCAAAAUUUCCAAUUUAAUUUUUUCUAGAAACUAAACUUCAGAGCACAAAAAGCAUAGAAAAUCACUUGGGAAGCAAGAUAGAAAUCACCAAGUGAUGGUUUUUAUUGAAGUUGGCAAUUUCAUGUAGCCAAGGCAAUGCACCCUUCUUCACUUGAAAAUUCGCCAAUAAUUCAUUAAAGCUCCAAAUAAUAUAUACUUGGUAUCUUUGAAAAGUUAGUAACUAGAAGAAGAUGGUUACAAAAAUUGAAGCAACUAGGAGGUGGAAAUCCAAGUGGUUAUAAAAUGGAGAGAGUUUUGAAUGGAUUAGAAGCAAGGAAGAGAGAAAGAAAUUGGCAUAGCUUCGCUCUAAAGAAAAAAAUGAGAGAGAGAGAGUGGUUGUUCAAUGCUACUUUAAUCCAAUGGAAGGAAGCUCCUAAGUAGUAACCACAUGUCUAUCAUCCAGAUCCAAAAUUCCUAAUCAAGAUCAAUUGUAGAUGAAGUUCAUCUAUAAUCAAUGUAAAUUCUAGCUAUAAGUAAAGAGUGUUGGAAUUGAGAGUUGUCUUAAUCCACACUUCACUUUAUAUGCAACCUUGCUGAUGCUAAGUGUUGUGGCUUUUUACUUCUCUUACUUCAAUAGGUUAUGGUCCCAUUUACAUUUGCUUGUGAGUUUUGAAGUUGUAUGAAUUCUUUGUUGUUGUAUGGAGUAGAUCAUGUUGUUCUUGCUGGUGUUAGGAUUUAGAAUCUCUUAAUUUUUAGAUUUAGAUCUAGAUCUAGACCUUGGUUUGCUUUUAUUUAUUGUUGAGAGUAUUUUGAAUUUGGAAUAUAUUUUAUACCUCAAGGUAAUAUCAUAGAACACUUGUAAUAUGUUUUCUUGCUAAAUUAUAUCUUUGAUGGAUUAACUUUGUAGUUUCAUGCAUUGAAGAAGCUUAAGGUACUUAAAGGACCUUUUAUGGUACUUAGAAGUGAUUUGUGAGCAUAAAAGUAAAAUAAGAGUUACAAAUCUGGUUUAAGAUGUUUAUACAAUUCAUUGGACUUAUGAAAAGCCUUAGAAGUGAAGUUAAAAGUGUUUGAAAGUGAAAACACUAGUUUAUUCACAAAGAGGGUAUUUUGAGAUUUUAAAGUAACAAUACCUUCUUAUUGAUUUGGAGAGCUUUAGGACUAUUUUUUUUAAUCAGUUUAGAUACAUCUCUCCUUUUGACAUGGCUUUAAGUAAGGAUGAAGACUUGAAAGCAAUUGAAAAAUUUAGAGGUAAAAAUUUCUACCAUUGGAAGGUCAAAAUAGAGCUUUUGUUGGCUUUUUUGGAUCUAUAGGAUAUUAUAAAUGAAAGUGAAGAGCCUCCAAGCAUGCAUGCUGAUCCAAAAUAGUAGAACGACUACAAACGUUGUGAAAAGAAGGCCUUUGGAUUGAUUGCAUGCAAUAUUGAUGAAGCCAACUUCUCCCACAUUAUCUCUUGCAAAGAACUAGCAAAAGUAUGGAAGACUCUUUGCAACAUCUAUGAGAGCAAGAACUCAUCUAAAAUCAUCUAUACAAGGAGGAAGUUCUUCACAUGUAAGAUGGAAGAUAGUGAAGACCUCAUGGCAUACAUCAACAAGGUGAAGGCACUUGCAAAUCAACUUGUAAUUAUUGACAAGCCCUUAAAGGAGGCAGAUGUUAUCAUGACUCUAUUUAUGAGCUUACCAAAAUCCUACAACUAUCUUAUUGUCACUUUAGAAUUCACAAUGGACUAUGUAACAACAAGAAUUAGCCAUGAAGUUACCAAGAAGAAAGAAAAAGAGCCUCAAAGUGAGGAUUUAGCACUCUACUCACAACAAGGCAAGGCCAACUAUUCAAACCAACAAGGUAAUAUCAAUACUUACUUGAUUUGUAGUAAAGUAGAAUAUUUUGCUCGAGAUUGCUACAAAGGCAAAAAGAUAAAAAAAGAAGAAUGCAAAUAGUAUAUAAGAUGAGUUUGGAAGACAAGAUUAUGCAUUUAUAACAACAAAUAGGACCUCUAUGGCUGCCAUGUCAAGCUGGAUUGUGGACUCAGAUUGUUCCAAGUAUAUAACACCUUAUUGUCACGGCUAUAAUCAAGUAAGCUAAUAAUUACAUAUAGAAAUAGGUAGAAGUAAAUAAAAGUAGAUAAAAAUAAGUUAAUUCUAUAAUAUUUAAUAUGGAAGCUUUUUAGAAACUUCCUAGACGCUGCUUUGACUUCAUAGGUGUCUUUAAUUGACUUUUUGGAUUAGAAACGUGGUCAACAAGUUGGCCAUGUGCCACACAUGUUGUUAGCUUGAAGAUCUAGCUAACUAUGUGGCCCACACGUAGAAAAACUUGCCUUGUAAGUCAAAGCAUGUAUCUUACAAAGUCAACACAUAUUGGAGGUCCUAUAGAACAUCGCCACGUAGUCCCUAGUUAGAUAGUAUAUAUAGAGACAAGAGGGAAGGCUUCUUCACUCUUGUCAACUCCUUUCUUGCUUCUUGUCUAGUUUCAAGGGUCUCUAGUUUUCUUGUCUAUUGGCAAUAGCCAGUCAAGUUUCUCUUUCAAUAUACAUACUUAUUUAUUUAUAUUUUGUUACCUUUCUUUGAGUGAGGGUUCACUUAUCUGAAUUACUUUUUCAUCGAGUUCUUGUCCUUGACAAAUUGACAAGAGUACACCUACAAUAUCAGAGCUUUGUCUAAUCUUGAUUAAGAGUGGAUUACCCCUUUUUCUUGAUAAGAUAUAAGCAUGUUAGAAGUUGCGGAUUACCCUCUUCUAAAGUGAUAUUGUCAUUAGUAUUUUCUUUAUUCUCAAGUCCUCUCUUCUAUUUGUCUUGAGCGAUAUUAAACAUCUUCUCUCUUCUAAGUGUUAUUAUGGCAAAACUUGUUGAAAUGAAGAGUACAAUGGCACAAAUACAAGAGCAAGUGAGGAAAUUAAUGCUUGCAAUGGAUCAAUUCAAUUUACCACCACAAAGAGCAACAAGAUUGGCAAGAAGUGAAGAUAUAGAAAUGGUUAGAGCUGCUUCAACAUCUGCACCAAACCAUGUCCUUUCUCCUAUAGUGGAACACCCUUCAAAUGUUAGAGAACCAAUAAUUGCCCUACCCGAGAAGUUUGAUGGCACCAGAUCCAAGUUUCAAAGAUUUAUCAAUCAAGUGCAACUUGUGAUUGAACUUCAAUCCCAAAGCUAUGCAACUCCAAGAUCACAAGUUAGAUUCAUUGGUAUGCUUCUUUCAGGUUCAGCACUAUCGUGAUUAUCAUCUUUUCUUGAAUGACGAGAUCCAAUAUUGGAUAAUCUAGAGGCUUUUUUGACGGAGUUUCGAUCCAUGUAUGAAAAACAUGAUGCAAUUCGUGUUGCAACCAAUAAGAUCCGUAUUUUACGACAAGGCAAUCGAUCAGUAUCGUUAUAUACUUUAUAAUUUUGACAACUUGCAACUGAUAUCAAGUGGAAUGAUGCUACAAUUAUUAGCCAAUUUCUCUACGGAUUACAAUAUGAGGUAAAAAAAUUAAUGCUCAACUUACCUGAUCCUCAAACAUUGAGUCAAGCAAUUGACUUUGCUGUGAAGUGCGACAAUCGCUUUUUUGAAUUCCGAUCUGAGAACCGUACAAGUGGGCCUCAACGUUACUAUAAUUCAAUCGCAACACCAACACCUCUUCAACACAUACAUUCAAAAGUAGAGGUUAUGCAAAUUGAUGCAGUACGUUUCAAACCUCUUACUGAGCAAGAAAAGACUCGUCGUCGUCAAAAAAGAUUAUGUUUAUAUUAUAGAGAACCAAAGCACACUGUUCAACAUUGUCCAAAGAAAUGACGCAAUCACAAAAUGAGGAGUAUGGCUGUGAAAGAAGAUAAUAUGUCAGAAAACAAGUUUGUCCAGCUACAAUAGGGACCGUGCGGCAAGAACCUUGCACAACAUCUAGUAAAGGUCCUAUUUUCUCCUCAGAGCCCUCUCCUUGUUUUACAUUAAAUGUUAUUUUAGGACCUAAACAUUACAAAGUCUCUGCCUUGUUAGAUUCAUGAGCCUCAGCGUGUUUUUUAGAUGAAGAAUUUACUAAAAGAUAUAGCAUAUCUUUAGUAAAGAAAACUAAACCUGUUCAUGUAGAAGUCAUAGAUGGUCAUCUAUUGUCUUCUAGAGAUAUUACUCACGAAACCCUUCCUACAGAAGUAAUAAUCAAUGGUCAUAAUAGUUUUGUAGUAUUUAAUAUCAUUAGAUCUCCGUCUAAUCCAGUCAUUUUAGGUUUAUCGUGGUUAAAAAAAUACAACCCUCAAAUAGACUAGAUUUCUCGAACUCUCACUUUCUCUAAAAAUAUAACUAACAAUGUAGUUAAGCAAGUAGAGAGUCAUAAGUCUAGUUCAAUUAAAUCCGUAUUUAUAGGUACAAAAGCUUUCUUACAUGCUGCUAUGAAAGAAUUAUCAUACAUUAUUUAUGCUACAUCCGUUCCUACUGGUGAAAAGACUUCAAGUGGCAUUCCAAGCCAAUAUCAAGAAUUUCAAGAUGUAUUUGAGAAAAAGAAUGCGGAUACACUCCCGGAACAUCGUCUCUAUGAUUGCUCAAUUGACCUUCAAGAAGGAGCACAACCGCCAUUCGGACCAAUCUACAAUUUAUCACAAAAUGAAUUCGCUGAAUUCAAGGAGUAUAUUGAAGAAAAUCUAGCCAAGAAUUUCAUACGCCAUUCUAAAUCUCCGCCAGGAGCUCCAAUUCUAUUUGUGAAGAAAAAAGAUGGAUCAUUGCGGAUGUGUGUUGAUUAUUGAGGACUCAACAAGAUUACCAUCAAAAACAGGUAUCCACUACCUUUAAUAUCUGGAGUUCUUGAUCAGUUGAAUCAAGCUAAGAUCUAUACAAAAAUAGAUCUUCGGGGAGCAUACAAUCUAGUACGCAUCAAAGAAGGAGAUGAAUGGAAGACUGCAUUUCGAACUAGGUAUGGGCAUUUUGAAUACAACAUCAUGCCUUUAAGAUUUACAAAUGUACCAGUAGCUUUUCAAAAUCUAAUGAAUGAUGUUUUUUGAGAGUUUUUGGACGAUUUUGUGGUCUAUUAUCUAGACGACAUCUUGAUCUAUUCUAAGAAUCCAGAAGAACAUGAACUUCAUGUUCGUCAUGUAUUACAAAAAUUAAGAAAUGCAGGACUCUAUGCCAAGAUAGAAAAGUGUGUAUUCCACACUACUCAAGUCGAUUUCUUUGGUUACAUCAUUUCAAAUGAUGGACUUAUGAUGGAUCCUAAGAAAGUUCAAACUAUUAUAGACUGGAAGAUCCCAAAAACGAUAAGAGAUGUCUAAUGUUUUUUGGAAUUUGCCAACUACUAUCGGAUCUUCAUCAAAGACUUCUGUCGAGUUGCAGCUCCACUUACACGUUUGACUUGUAAAGACAAACUCCAAUGGAAUUAAGAAGCAAAAGUUACUUUUGAAUCUUUGAAGACAUCGUUUGUUUAUGCACCAAUCUUGUAUUGUGUUAAUUUUUUCAAAGCAUUCUUUACGGAAACAGAUGCAUCGGACUUUGCUCUAGGUGCAAUUUUAUCACAAAUGGGAACAGAUGACAAACUUCAUCCAGUAGCCUUUCAUUCAAGAAAAUUCUCAGCAGCAGAAAUCAAUUAUGAGAUCAAUGACAAAGAACUUCUUGCAAUUGUGGAUUCUUUUUAAGAAUGGCAUCAUUAUCUAGAAGGCGCUUCUAGUCCAGUCACCGUAUAUACGGAUCACAAGAACCUCAAAUAUUUUAUGUCAGCACGUGUAUUAAAUCGUCGCCAAGCUCGUUGGAGCAUGUCUUUAUCAAGAUUCGAGUUCAUCAUCACUUAUCGGCCAGGAAAACAACAAGGUUUAUCCGAUGCCUUAUUUAGACGCUCUUAUCUUGUACCAAAAGAAGCAGAUGCAGCUUUUGAGCAAUAAAGAACAGUUCUUUUGGAGCCGGAAUAAUUUCUUCUUCGAGCAAUAAAAUCAACAUUGACUGUUGAUUUAACUUUUCUUAAGCAAGUCUAGUUAAGUAUGUCUUCAAACCCUCUUGUUCAUGAUAUCAAGAACAAUUCUUCUAAAUCUCAUGAUCCAUCUAAAUUUGAAUUCAAGAACAACCUACUCUAUUUCGAAGGACGCCUAUAUAUUCAAGAAGGAGAAGCACAUUUACGUGCUCUUCAAGCACGUCACGACUUUCCAGCAGCACGACAUUUUGGAUAAAAUAAGACUUUGGAGCUGAUAUCUAGGGAUUUUUGGUGGCCUCAAAUGUGAAAGGCAGUUAAAGAUUUUGUACAAUCAUGUGAUGUUUGCUCAAGAUCAAAAACUCCUCGUCAUCGACCUUUUGGACUUCUUCAGCCAUUACCCAUUCCAAAACAAUCAUGGUCUUCUAUUUCUAUGGACUUCAUCAUAGAUCUUCCAAUCUCAGGUUUUUAUGACUCUAUAUUCGUGAAAGUAGAUCGUUUUACCAAGAUGGCACAUUUUGUAACAUGUACGAAAUCUAUCACAAGUGAAAAAAUAGCUAAGUCAAAUUUUGGAGGACUCUUUUCAAGAUUCUUAAAGUGGAUAUAAAACUAUCUUUGGCUUUUCAUCCUCAAACUGAUGGACAAACGGAGCGUGUUAAUCAAGUUUUGGAGCAAUAUUUAAGAUGUACCAUUAAUUACCAACAAGAUGAUUGGACAACUUUUUUGCCAUUGGCAGAGUUUGCUUACAAUAAUACGGUACACUCUUCUACAAAACAAACACCUUUCUUUGCUAAUUAUGGUUAUCAUCCACGACUUGAUACUUUUGACUUUUCAAAAGUUGAUAAUCCUGCUACGAAAGAUUUGGCAGUUCAUUUAUGAGAGCUACAUGCAACGAUGAAGGUGCAGUUAAAAGAGGCUCAAGAACAACAAAUGGCCAAUGCGGAUGUCUAUCGAAAGGAACAACCAUCAUUCGUCUUGGGUGAUAAAGUAUGGCUACUUUGUAGCAAUAUCAAGACCACUCGUCUUUGUGACAAGUUGGACUAUUGAAGGCUGGGACCAUUUUCUAUUUCUGCACAAAUCAAUCCAGUUACAUAUCAUUUACAUCUACCGGAGUCAAUGAAAAUCCAUCUAGUAUUCCACGUGUCUUUUCUUAAACCAUACAAGACAGUGGACAUACCAAGAAGAUGACAAACUCCACCUCCUCCUAUAGAAGUGGACAAUAAUGAAGAGUUUGAAGUAGAAGAAGUCUUAGAUUCAAGGCGACGCUGAAAUAGAUUAGAAUAUCUUGUCCAUUGGCGCGGAUAUGGUAUUAGUGAACGCACAUGGGAGCCAAUAAAGAAUCUUACAAAUGCAUCAAAGGCGGUGGAGGCUUUUCAUCGACGACAUCCAUCAAAAUCAAGAUGAAAACCUUCUUUAUAAAAGAAACAACAUCUAGGCAAGUUAACUUUCUACUUUCAAUUCUUGUUCAUAGCUUCGUUGUAAUAGUGGCGCUCAGGAGAUGGAGAACCAACAACCAGUGGAUUCAACUCAAGAGCCUUCAUUUGCUGACCUACCAGACGAGACGUUAUGAUUGUCACAACCUUCAAGACGACGCAAUCGAGAUGAAGAUCUUCAAGAACGAUAUUUUUUUCCUCGAAUAGAUGGCGAGAUACAACGCGUUUGGUAUCACAAUUUGGGAAGGGACUCCUGAUGUUUGGUGAUUGUGCUAGAAGUAGGAACAACUCCUGAUGGUGUUCCAAAUAUUCUAUUCGAAGGAAGUUACGAAGGCCUCAACAAUGAUCAAAUAACUUGGUGGUCUUCCCGCCCUGGUAUGGGACACUACCGAUUUUUGAGAGGCCCUAUCAAUCAUCUUCGAAGAGAACAGAGAUCAGAGUAUGUGGCGAAUACAAUUCGUCACAUCAUAGAUUUUCUCAACAUAUGAUGACCGCUCCUCAUGGAACUCGUCCCUAGAAGGGGGGAGUAAUGUCACGGCCAUAAUCAUGUAAGCUAAUAAUUACAUAUAGAAAUAGGUAGAAGUAAGUAAAAGUAGAUAAAAGUAAAUUAAUUCUAUAAUAUUUAAUAUGGAAGCUUCCUAGAAACUUCUUAGAUGUUGCUUUGACUUCAUAGGUGUCUUUAAUUGACUUUUUGGAUUAGAAACGUGGUCAACAAGUUGGCCAUGUGCCACACAUGUUGUUAGCUUGAAGAUCAAGCUAACUAUAAGGCCCACACAUAGAAAAACUUGCCUUGUAAGUCAAGGAAUGUGUCCUACAAAGUCAACACAUAUAGGAGGUCCUAUAGAACAUCGCCACGUAGCCCUUAGUUAGAUAGUAUAUAUAGAGACAAGAGGGAAGGCUUCUUCACUCUUGUCAACUCCUUUCUUGCUUCUAGUCUAGUUUCAAGAGUCUCUAGUUUUCUUGUCUUUUGGCAUUAGCCAUUCCAGUUUCUCUUUCAAUAUACAUACUUAUUUAUUUAUAUUUUGUUAUCUUUCUUUGAGUGAGGGUUCACUUGUCUGAAUUACUUUUUCAUCCAGUUCUUGUCCUUGACACUUAUAAGUAUUCAUUUGACACUUAAGAGGCUAUUUCAGCAUCAAAUGCAAUUUUGGAGGAUACUAAUAUAUGUAAAGCCAUUGGAAUUGGUUCUAUUAUGGUGGACAUAGUUGGCCAAAAAAAUAUAUGGCCUUUAUAAAAUGAUGUUGUACAAAAGUCCAAUUCUACAAUCUUAUUUAGUAUUAGAGAAAUUGAUUCUCUAAAAUUUAAUGUUGAACUAGAAUUCUUUUUUUGGUUUUUUGAAUCCAUCUCAAUUUAAUAACAGUUUAGUGCAAUAUAUAGAAGAUUCCUCUAAUACAAGCUAAAUCCUUUAAUACAAUGUUUAGUUUUGUUUUGUGUUGUAGAUAAUAAAUGAAAACACCAUCAAUCAAAAAAUAACUAGAAUAUUUAAAUUAAUAUCAUAAUCAUACUUACAAAGGGUUCCAAAAUAAAGAAAAAAAAAAGAAUCCUAUGUAUAAAAAUAUAAAAUAUGAAUGCUAAUUGUAUUCUAAAGUUUUAUAAAUUAAAAUAGAAAUUUUACUUUUAAAAGCAUGUCAACUAAAAUUUUAGAAAAUUAUUUAAAAAUAGAAUUUAUAAAACUUCUCAAAUUUUGUAAAACUUAUGAUACAAAAAUUUAUAGUUUAAUACCAUUUUGCAAUCCAUGUAUAUCAAAUGUAUUUAUUCUAUGCAUAGGUACAAAAAAUGUAAUAAAAAUUAUUUUAUGAAAAAUAAAAGCAUUAUUUUUGUAUUUAAAAUUACACAUCUUAAAGUUUUUAGUUUAAUUGAUAGAAAAUAUAUUGCAAAUAAAAUAGAUCAUACACCAAAUAAUGGUUGUAUUAUUACAUAUAUUUGUAGAAGUCACAAGACGCCAUUGUAAUUUUUGUUUCUAAACUUUGAUAUUGUAAAAUUCAAGUUGACCUUCUUAAAGCAAUUGUAAUUACUUAAAUAUUGUUUUGGAUAAAUUUGUAACAUGUACAUUAUAAAAUUUUAUAAUUUAGUUCUAUAAUAAAGAAAAAAGACUACACCUAUAAUAUAGAAUUAUUCUUCUAUAUUAUUUAAUCCAAUAUUAAAAAAAAAUGAUGAAUACCAUGUCAUGAAAAUAAAAAACCGAAAAUAAUAAUUUAAAAAAAAAUGUAUUUUAUUAGUAGUGGUAAGGGUUUAAAGAAUUCAAAAACAAUCCUUGAUGUUGAAAAAUAUCAAUAAAAAAAAUUUAAAAAAAAUAAGUAAAUUGCAUAAUAAAAUUUGGUAGAUAAAAGGGGGGUGAGGAGUAGGAUGCAUGAAACGAAGAUGGUGGAGGAGCCCGGCAUGGAGUGGGAGAUGGCCCGCACAAACGAAGGAACGAAGGAACGAAGGAACGAACGAGGGAACGAAUGAACGAAGAAAGGGGCCGUGGCCUGGAGGUAAGGUGAGGUGAGGAGAGGCCGCGUGGUGCGGCGUGGUGGUGAGGUAGCUGCACGGCAGUCGAGGAGGAUACUUACUUACUACCUGGGGGUGGGGUCGGUGCGGGAAGAAGAAGAAGAAGAAGAAGAAGAAGAAGACCGCAUUGUGGUAUGUGUGGUGUGAAAACGGCUUCGCUCAUCCGGGUCCCAGGAGGGGCCGUGAGUCGUCCGCUGAUCGGCAGUCGUUGUAGUAUAGUGGUAAGUAUUCCCGCCUGUCACGCGGGUGACCCGGGUUCGAUCCCCGGCAGCGGCGCGGCGGCGACCGCAGCUAACAGGCUAGCACCGGUGGUCUAGUGGUAGAAUAGUACCCUGCCACGGUACAGACCCGGGUUCGAUUCCCGGCCGGUGCACUGCUUUUGUUCAUCCACGCCCUUCUUUUCCAUCUCCUUUUUCCUUCUCCUUUUUCCUUCUCCAUCUCCUUCUUUCUCCUCGCCCACCCACCUCCACGGCGCGCACGCAUCAAGUUCUCGUCACCCCGCUUUUCCACCACACCACUUUCUCUCGCCUCACCCCAUUCCUUCGUCUUCUCACCCAAGCUCCAAUCAUAUCUCCAAUAAUAUCCCUUCACUCUUCCACACAUCCACCUCACAUUACAAACAUCUUCCACCCCCCUCAUUUUCAUCAUCUUGGUUCUAAAACAAAUCCAAGAACAACGUAAAAAAAUAUACUUGUUUGACCAAACUUGCAAGCAACAAUAAGAACAACAUGAAUCAAACAUCAUAACAAUGUUGAAAUUGCUCCUAAAAUAUAUACGUUUUUUCUCCAUAAUAAUUGUAGCAAUUAAAGUAGAUCAAAUAAUAUUUAAAUUUCCAUGUCCAAAGUUUAAUGGUUUAAUCAUAUUAUUCAUCAACAAUUGUUGAAAGAAUUGAUGUUGAUGUCGUAGUAUUAGAUUUGUUGAAUUUGUAUUCUUGACGUAAUAUAAAAUUUUAUUAAAUUCUUGCAAAUAUAAUUUUCUAUUGCUUUUCCAUAAAUCUUUUUAAUAAUAAUGUGGCAACCAAUAGUAUAAAAUUAAAUACUCCUAUAAAUAGAAAUAUUUUACUUAUUUGCAAAAUUAGAGAGGGAAAUACCUUUAACAAUUGGCAAUCCAUUUUAUUAGUUGAGACAUCAUUACAUUCAUGACAAGAUACUUUAAAACAAAAUUAAAAAUUAAAAAUUAAAAUAAAAAUAAAAAAUCAAUAUCAAAGAAGGUUUCAUCCAUUAAAAUACAAGAUACAUGAUAAAUUUGUGACUUCAAAAAGUAUAAAUUAGAUUAUUUCUAUUAGCUAUUUUUUUAAAAAAUAAAUAAAUCAAAUACAUAUAUUAAAAUAAUAUAUAAAAUUAGGCUUGUAUAACCAAUUUAUUAGGAUAACCAAAAUUAUUCUUUAUAAGUAUAGAAGAAUAAGAAACAAAGCAAAGGUUCAUAGACAUAUUUAAUUAUCUAGAUAAGAAUAGUUAGGUAUCAAGGACAUGAAUCUCAAAGAAAGAAAUCCUCAAUACACUCUUGCGACAUUGAAAAGAACUAAAAAGCCACUCAAAGAUGAUAUAUUAUUGAACUAGAAUGACAAUUGUCAAAAACAAGGACAUUAGAAAGUCUUGAAACAAGACUAAGGACUAGAAAGAUGUUGACAAGAGUGAUGAAGGCUUCACUCUUACCUCCAUAUAUACUCUUAACUAGGAGCUACAUAGCGAUGUCCUGUAAGACCUCCAAAACAUGUUAACUUUGCAAGACACGUAUCUUAACUUGUAAGGCAGGUUUUUUAUAUGUGCGCUACAUAAUUAGUUUGCUCCGCAAGCUAUUAACAUGUGGUUAACUUAUUGACCAAGUUUUUAGCCUAUCAAUCAACUACAAAAUACAUAUUAAAUCAAAGCAACAUCUAUAAAGCUUUUAAGAAGCUUCUUUAGAAGGUAUUAUGAAAUUAAUCCAUUUUUAUCUACUUUUACCUACUUCUCUCAAUCAUAUAAGUAUUUAUUAGAAUACAUAUGUAUAUCCGUGACAUUACUCGCAUUGUAGGAACAAGUUCUAUGAAAAGCGAUCUUCAUAUGUUGAAAAAAUCCAAGAUGCGGUGAAUUAUAUUUGCUCCAUACUCUGAUCUUUGUUCUCUUUGAAGAUGGUUGAUAGGUCUUUUCAACCAUCCAUAGUAUCCUAUACUAUGAUGAGAAGACCACCCUCUUAUUUGGUUGUUACUGAGGCCUUUGUAACUUCCUUCAAAUACAACAUUUGGAACACUGUCAAGAGUUGUUCCUACCUCUAAUAAAAUCACCAAACAUCAAGAGUCUCUUUCAAGGUUGUGAUACCAAAUACGUUAUAUCUCACCAUCUAUUUGAGGAAGGAUAUAUCAUUCUUGAAGAUCUUCAUUUCAAUUUUGUCGUCUAGAAGAUUGUGACAAUUGCAAUGUCUUGUUUGAUAAGUCCGCAAAUAAAAGCUCUUGAGUUGAAUCUAUUGGCUAUUGGUUUUCCGUUUCUUUAGUAUCACAAAUACAUAGAAGCUACAAAGAGGGAUAGAAGGUAGAGUAUUAUCUUUCUUUGAUCUUGUCUCUUUUAUAGCAAAGAUUUGCUAUUCUUUAACUUGGUUUUGAUUGAUGGAACAAUCAUAAGGACAAUGCUCUGGAAGAAUAUCUACAUUAUUUUUUAAAGAAAUAUCUUAGAAAUGUUGAUAUUGGCUAGGGAUAUUACUUCAUGUCUUCUCACUAUCAAAAAUAGGCAUGGUAUAUAAAACAAAAGAAAUUCCUUUUUUUUGCAACAUGUGUAAAAGCUCUGGCACCUAUUAAUAAAGAUUUGGUUCUAUUAAACUUAUGUAUUUUUACUUAACUAAUGGAAUUUUAGAUUAAACUAUCAAAAAAAUUAAGGUUACAAAAAGUCUAAUCUAUUUGAGGAUUAUAUUAUUCUAACCAAGAUAAUCCUAAAAUAAUCAAAUUAAACAAAGCUCUUAUUAUAUUAAAUAUUACUAUGCUAUUAUGAUCUUUAAUUGAUACAUCUAAUGAAAGAGUGUCAUAUGUAACAUCUCCAAAAAAUAGCAAACAAUCAUCUAUCACUUUCUACAUGUAUAAGAUUAGUUCUUUUAACUAAUGAUAUUUCUUAUUUUUUGAUAAAAUCUUUGUUUAUAAAAUAGGCUAAUGCUCUUGAAUCUAAUAAAGCUAAGAAUUUGUGAUUUUUCGGUCCUAAAUAAAUUUCUAUUACAAAAUAAGGUGAGAGAUCUUAUGAGAGAAUAGGACCUUUAGUAGGAGUUAUACAAGAUUCCAGUUGAACAAUCUCUAUUGUAGUUGAAAAAACUUGUUUUUUGAUAUAUUGUCUUCUUUGGUAACCAUGCUUCUCAUUUUGUGGUUGCAUUGUUUCUUUGGAAAAUAUUGAGUAGUAUAUUGAGCUUCUCCAUAAUAUAAGCAUUAAUCCUUUUCUCAUUGUCAAAUAUUUUUCUACUUUGUGAGGGAUUUAAAGUGUACUAUAUCAAUUUGCAUUGGUUUUGGCCUCAAUGAAUGAAUUUUCGAAAACCUAGGAGCUAUUGUUAUUAUUUGAUUUUUUUCUCUUCAGCUAAGUCUUUGUUCUUGAUAUCUUUCAAAUAAUUGAUUGUCACAUGCAAUAGCUUGAGCAAUUAAUUUUUUCAAAGAUUCUGCCUUUGGCAUUGUCAGUGAUAAAUGUUUGACAUUAUUCUUCAAUCCAUAUCAAUGUUGAUUGAUAAGAGCUUUGUCAUUCUUAUCCACGUCACAAGUUUGGCUUUGGAAUUCAAUAGCAUAUAUAGUUGUUGACCAUGAUACUUAUCGUAAAGAUAAGAGCUUGGUCUCUGCUAUUCUUUUUCAAUCACUUUUUUAAAAUAUAUUUGUCAAUACUUUUAAGAAUGAAUUCAAAUCAUAAAAGAGUCGCAAAUCCUUUUCUAUUAAAUGUACAAAUCAAGAAAGAGUACUUCUUAAUAAAAGUGUGCCUAUGAAUCUAACUUGAGUAAUUCCAUCAAAAUAUUAGAAGAAAUGCAAUCUUAGAUAGAGCUUGAUUUGUUCCAAAGAACUUGGAAAUUUUGAUCUUGUUCCAUUAAACUUCUCAAUCAUACUAAUUCUUCUCUCCGUUGUUGUGUUGCAACACGAUUAUAUGGUAAAAAUAUAAAUAGAAAAGAUUUAUUAGUGUUUAUUCAUCUUGGAUGUUAGAAAUAGUGGCCAAUUCCAAUGCCAAUAUUCAAGGGUCAGUUAAUGUCACCCUAUUGCUGCUGUAUCAUCGAACGAGAUAACAGAGUAUGCUCCACUAUUAUCAUCGAACUAAGUACCUCUGUACCAACGGGACGACCAGAAUCAUUUUUUAAUCUUACAUGAAAUAAGCCUAGUAAGUAUAUAGUGGUAGAGACACCCAAUAUGCUUGAUGGAGGUGCAAGAAGAUCACAUCGUUGUUUUUGGUAUAGACAGAAUGGUGAUUAUGCUACUGAAUGUCCCAAUCCUAGAGCCAUUGACAAUUAUGCGCCAGUGUGUGGGAAUAGCAAGCAGUCGGGGCAUACUUAUCAACAAUAUAAUAUUCCGUUUAAUUUUUAUAAUUGAGAUGAGCAGAUCCAUAGUUUGAGAAAAAUUGAGGGAAUAAAUCGAGGUCCUCAAGAUUCUUCGGUAAUUUGGAUAGAAUGAGUCCGAGCCAUUCUUACUAAGAGUCGACAAAAUUCAAUAUUCGGGUGAGUCUAAUGUGAUAGACUAAUUUGAUCCAAUUAUGAGGACAUCCAAUCUAGGUCUUAUUAUGGGCCUCUUGUCGAGUAUGAGACCGAACUUGGUUGGACAAUCCAAUGAAGUCUUGAAUACAGAGGCUUCAGUUCCAUUUCAAGUUGUUCCGUUCUCUAUAUUGUUUUGCAGAAACGUCUUUUCUAUAUAACGAUCCUCUUAGAAGCAAGAUUUUCAUGAAAGUAGGUCUGUUGUUGCAAUUAAGAGUCGAAGGCGGAAGAAUAGGGGACCUCACGGAGUAAAACGAAAAGAAAAGAAAAAGAAGAAGGCAUUCUGAGAUCAAGAUUUUGUGGUCGGAGAGCUAGCUUCAAGUUCCUUCGAAAGGUAUAGAAUUGGAUGUCAUAGGGUUUGGGAGGACUUUUGCAAUCAUUGCUGAAAGUCAGUAUUUGUACUAGUGAUUGGAUUUUCUUUUGCAAUAAAGUUAAGGCUAAUACUCUUGAGUAUUUUGUGAAAUUAGAAAAUCUUUUGCAGUUGAAAUUUAGAAGUGUCUUGAGGAUUGAGUAUGUUGAAUGCAUGCAAAAGUUUGUGUUAAUCUGACAGAACAGAUAGAAGAUAUUUGACUAUUAGUGUAAAGAGGUAUCAAAAGUUAGCAGAUUGUAGUUGUUUAGGGUUUUGUAAUAUCUGGAGAUCUACCAGUUGGAAUUAGGUGACUUUUGGCGUGAUAAGUGGAGACUUCUAGGCAGCAAUCAAGAUAAAUCAGUGUAGAUUUACGGCAUUUUCUUGCAACCUGUAAGUUAGAUUAGAUUAAAACUUCUUGAGCAUUUAGAAGGCUUACAAAGACACUAGUGGUAGAAGUUUACAACAAUCAGAUGGUCAGAUUGAGAAUUACAACUUGCCAAAGCUCGCUGUCUAGGAUUAAAUUUAAAAGUAAAAUAGAAUAAAAUUAAAAUUAAAAUUAAAAAAUUAAAAAAAUAAAAUAAAAUAAAAUAAAAUAAUAAAGAUUAAUAAAUAACAAAAGACUUUGUAAUUAUAAUAUCUUGAAGUUAUUAAAAAUAGUACUUUCAAAUACUUUACAUUGAGAUUAAGCUUUUAUAUUGAAAUCCGAAAUAGUUUGUAUUUAAAUGGUUGAAAUCCACUAGCCUAUCUAGAUACUUGUAAAACAUUGUUUUAUCUUCCAUAGCCAGACGCCCGAUGCAUUUUCAAGUAAGAUAGCACGUAACACGACACCAUUAUAGUUGUAGAAGCAUAAUUCUUUGGAUUUUGAUUUGAGAUCAAUCAAUCUACUUCUUUCAAUUACAUAACUUCUUGCCUCAGACUUUGAACUUCUUCCAUAGGCAUAAGAAUAGUACCUUCAUGAUUUAUAUUGAAAAUAUGUGAAAUUUCUACUCUUAAAGUAUUGAGAAGCUCAUGAAGAUCUAUAAUAGUUGCAAAUCUAUUCUCACUUCUGUUGAGAGUAGCAUCCAUAAUCUUUUCUUCCAUAGACAAUUCAAACAAAUUCAAAAAGUUAAAUGAGAGGAAGGUAAUCCUCAACCUCUAAUAUCAAAUAAAAAUUUCCACAAAGAGAGAUAAUCUACUCUCUUUAAGAAAAAGAUGAGUAUUAAAAAAUAAAAUUAUUUGUUUAAAAGUGAUAAGUCUACAACUUUCAAAAUACAACAAUAGAAGUAGGAUAAUCUACUCACUUCUAAAAUAAGAUAGAAAUAGUAAGUUAGCACUCUUAUCAAAUCAUCAAGGACAUUAAUUACAAAGAAAGAAAUCCUCAAUAUACUCUUAUGACAUUGAAAGAAUUAAAAAGUCACUCAAAGAUAAUAUAUUAUUAAACUAGAAUGACAAUAGUUAAACAUAGAGAAACUAGAAAGUCUUAAAAUAAGACUAAAGACUAGAAAGGUAUUAACAAGAGUAAAGAAGGCUUCACUCUUGCCUCCAUAUAUAUUCUUAACUAGGAGCUAUGUGUCGAUGUCUUGGGGGACCUCCAAAACAUAUUGAUUUUGUAAGACACUUGUGAGUGUAAAUUUUCACUCCUCAACCCAAGUUACAAAAUGGCCUCAAUUAAGAGUUGCUGGUAAUUGAUGGUAUAAAGUGAAGUAGGCAAUUAUAAAGAAAAAAAGAAGAACAACUACAAAGCAAUUGAAACAAAUGACAUGAAGCAAUUACAACACCUAAAAUUAAAUCAUAAUUUGUUCACUUUAUUUUUACCUAAUAAAAAUAUAAAUUGAACAAUAAAUAAUAUCUUUUUAGAUAGGUAAUUUUAUUAUCUUUCCAAUGAUAUAAGAAACAUAUUAAUCCGAAUUAUUAUAAGUAAGUUAUGAGGUUUUGAAGAUAUAUAGUAAAUAAUUGAAAAGUGAAGUAAAAAUAUUUAUCUCAAAGGUAACUUGCUUAUAGAUCAAGGAUUCGAGCCUCACCAAGGCUCACAUGUAGUAUAUAAAGGUGUCUGAGAGAGGCUACGAAGCCUUAGUCUUAUCCUCUUAACUACCCUGAAGGUGCUAUAAUCCACAUGGGACUUGUGCACUCUUCUUUCUAUAAGGACUAUACUAGCUGCUAGUCCUCCUAUUUUCUAUUGGGAGGACCAAAAUUUUUACAACUUUGACCUCACCAUGGUAUUUAAAAAAAUCCAAUUAGCCUCGAAACCUUGUGUGGCCUUCAAUUCUUGCUCCAUUUCUUCAUAAAGCUUCCAAAGUGGUAAAACUCAUUUUUACCAAGAUCUUCAAAAUUGCUCUAAUAUUCCUAAAAAAUUCUAAAUAAAUUCUAAAAAGUUCUAUAAUAUUUUUAUAAUGCUGAUAUCCAUUUAAGGUUACAUUUUUCUACCUUAGAAAUUUUUGAUAAUAAUAUAAAACAAUUUAAAUCUACUAUCAAUCCUAUUAUUUUAUAUCAAUAACUAAAAUGACAUGAUGUUCUUUCUCAUGCUUCUUCUAACUACUAACAUUUAUAUUUUUUAUAAGUAAUAUAUAUAGAUAGAAGACCAAUUUAAAUAUAGAUUUUAAUAAAUUAUCCUUAUUAUUCAAUAAUAAAUAAAAGUACUAAAUCAACAAAGAUAAUUGCCUCUAAGACUUACUAAGACUCCAUUUCCACCACUAAAAAUUUUAUUUUCUAUUUUUUUAAGGAUUUUUAUAUUACUUACUAUAUCAUGUUAUUUAAAGCAUUAUAAAUACAUAUUUUUAUCCUAAAAUAAUAAAUGAGUCAAUUUGAUGACUCAUAAUACGUAUCUUAACUUGCAAGACAAGUUUUCUAUAUGUGCAUCAUAUAGUUAGCUUGCUUGUGCAAGUGUCAUGGACAUAUAUAUAUAAAUCAAUAACUACCUAUACAAUUAGAUAAAAGUAAGUAAAAAUAAAUUAAUUCCAUAAUAUUUUCUAUAGAAGCUUCUUUUAAACUUUAUAGACAUUGCUUUGACUCUAUAGGUGUCUAUAAUUGAUUUUUUAGGUAAGAAAGGUGAUCAAAAAAUUAGCCAUGAGCCACACAUUUUGAUAGCUUGAAAAACAAUCUUAUUAUAUGGCACACAGAUAGAAAACUUACCUUGUAAGUUAAGGCAUGUGUCUUGCAAAGUCAACACAUAUUAGAGGUCUUAUAGGAUGUUGUCACAUAGCUCCUAAUUAGAUAAUAUAUAUAGAGGCAAGAAUAAAGCCCUCUUCAUUCUUGUCAACUUCUUUCUUGCUUUUAGUCUAGUUUCAAGAGUCUUUAGUUUCUUUGUUUUUUAAAAAUAGCCAUUCUAGUUUUUAUUUAAUAUUCAUACUUCUUUCUUUUCAUUUUGUUAUACUUGUUUAUUUACUUUUAUCAAGUUCUUGUCCCUCAUUCAUUAAUAAGAAUAUACUUACAAUGUCAAAUCCUUGUCUUUUCUUGAUUAAGAGUGGAUUAUCUCUUUUCUUUGACAAGUCAUAAGCAUAUUAGAAGUUAUAGAUUACCUUCUUUUAAACUGCUAUUGUUUUUAGUAUCUUCUUUGAUGUUCAAUUCUCUCUUUUAUAUUACUUGAAAAUACUUAGAUAUUUUUUUUAAAGUAUUAUCUUGUUAGAGCUUAUUAAAAUGAAGAAUAUAAUGGUACAAAUGCAAGAGCAAUUGAGGGGGUAGUACUUGUAAUGCAUCAAUUUAAUUUACCACCACAAGAAGACACAAGAAUAAUAAGAAGUAAAGAUAUAGAUAUGAUUGGAGCUACUUCAAUAUUUUUACCAAAUCAUGUCCCUUUUCCUACAGUGGAACAUCCUUUCUAUACUAGAGAACCAAGUAUUGCCUUGCUUGAGAAGUUUGAUGGUACAAGAUCAAAGUUUUGAAGAUUUAUCAAUCAAAUACAACUUGUGAAUGAACUUCAACUCCAAAGCUAUCCAACUCUAGGAUCACAAGUUAGAUUUAUUGAUACACUUCUUUCAGGUUCAGUAUUAUUAUGGUUUUUAUCUUUUCUUCAAUGACGAGAUCCAAUACUUGAUAAUUUAGAGGCUCUCUUGACAAAGUUUUGAUCCAUUUAUAAAGAACAUGAUGCAACUUGUGUUGCAACCAAUAAGAUAUGUAUUUUGCGACAAGACUAUCAGUUUGUAAUAUUAUAUGCUACACAAUUUUGACAACUUGCAACUGAUAUCAAGUAGGAUGAUGCUGCACUUAUUAGCUAAUUUUUUUAUAGAUUAAAAUAUGAGGUAAAGAAAUUGAUGCUUAACUUAUCUGAUCCUCAAACAUUAAGUCAAGUGAUUAACUUUGUUGUGAAGAGUGAUAAUUGACUUUUUAAAUUUUGAUUUGAAAGUCAAACAAGUGGGCUUCAAUGUUUCUUUAAUUAAAUAGCAACACCAAUGCCUCUUCAACAUAUACUUUUGGAAGUAGAUAAUAUGUAAAUUAAUGUGGUACAUUUCAAACUUCUUAUUGAGCAAGAAAAGACUCAUUCCUCUCAAAGACAAGUAUAUAAUAAAGACAAAUAAACAAGUGAGACUUUUUUCAAAGAAAGAUGAUAAAAUAGAAAUAACUUGAUAUGUAUAUUAAAAAAUAAACUCGACUGGCUAUUGCCAAAAGUCAAGAAAAUUAAAGAUCCUUGAAACUAGAUUGGAAGCAAAAAAAGAGUUGACAAGAAAGAAGAAGGCUUCACUCUUGUCUCUAUAUAUACUAUCUUACUAGGGGCUACAUGGCAACGUUCUAUAGGACCUCUAAUUUGUGUUGACUUUGUAGGACACAUGCCUUAACUUACAAGGCAAGUUUUUCUAUGUGUGAGCCACAUAGUUAGCUUGAUCUUCAAACUAACAACAUGUGUCGUACAUGGCCAACUUGUUGACCAUGUUUCUAAUCCCAAAAAGUCAAUUAAAGAUAUCCAUAAAGUCAAAGUAGCAUCUAUGAAGAUUUUAGGAAACAUCUAUAUUAAAUACUAUAGAAUUAACUUAUUUUUAUCUAUUUUUACUUAUUUUUACCUAUUUAUACAUAUAAUUACUGAUUUACAUACAUAUAUCUAUGAUAUAAUCUCCCUUUCUAGGAACAAGUUCCACGAAGAGCGAUCAUCAGAUGCUGAAGAAAUCUAUGAUGCGAAAAAUUAUAUUCGCUAUAUACUCUGUUCUUUGUUCUCUUCAAAAAUCAUUGAUAGAGCCUCUCAACAGUCGGUAGUGUUUUAUACUAAGGCGGAAAGACCACCUACUUAUUUGAUCAUUGUUGAGGCCUUCAUAACUUUCUUUGAAUAAAAUAUUUGGAACACCAUUAGGAGUUGUUCCUUCUUCUAGUAUUAUUACUAAACAUCGGGAGUCUCUUCAAAGGUCGUCAUAUCAAACGCAUUGUAUCUCGCCAUGUAUUUGAGGAAGAACAUGUCAUUUUUAAAGAUCUUUAUCUCAAUUGCAUCGUCUUGAAGGUUGUGACAAUCAUAAUGUCUCAUCUGACAAAUCAGUAAACGAAGGCUAUUGAGUCAAAUCUACUGGUUAUUGGUUUUCCAUCUCCUCAGCGUCACAACUACAAAGAAGCUACAAACAAGGAUUGAAAGUAGAAUGUUAUCUUGCUUAGAUUUUAUUUCUUUUAUAAUUAAGGUUUUCAUCUUGAUUUUAAUGGAUGUCAUCGAUAAAAAGCCUCCACCACCUUUGUUGCAUUUACAAGAUUCUUUAUUGGCUCCCAUGUGCACUCACUAAUAUAAUUUCUACACCAAUGGACAAGAUAUUUCAAUUUAUUCCAGCGUCGCCUUGAAUCUAAGACUUCUUCCACUUCAAACUCUUUACUAUUGUCUACUUCUAUAGGAGGAGGUGGAGCUUGUCUUCUUCUUGGUAUGUCCACAUUCUUCUAUGGUUGAAGAAGAGACACGUGGAAUACUGGAUGAAUUGUCAUUGACUCUGAUAGGUGUAAACGAUAUGCAACAUGUUUGAUUUGUAUAGAAAUAGAAAAUGGUCCAAGCCUUCAAUAGUCCAACUUGUUACAAGGACGAGUGGUCUUGAUAUUACGACGAAGUAACUAUACCUUAUAACCCAUGUAGGAUGGUGGUUGUUCCUUUCAAUAGACAUCCACAUUGAUCUUUUGUUGUUCUUUAGCUUCUUUUAACUACGCCUUUAUCUUUGCAUAUAGCUCUGACAAAUGAGUUCUGAAAUCUUUAGAACUAAGAUUAUCAACUUUUGAAAAGUCAAAAGUAUCAAGUCAUGGAUAAUAAUCAUAAUUGGCAAAGAAAAGUGUUUGUUUUGUAAAAGAAUGUACAGUGUUAUUGUAAGCAAACCCUGCCAAUGGCAAAAGAGUUGUCCAAUCAUCUUGUUGAUAGUUAAUGGUACAUCUUAAAUACUGCUCCAAAACUUAACUAACAUGCUACGUUUAUCCAUCAAUUUGAGGAUGGAAUGUUGAAGAUAGUUUUAAAUCUACUUUUAGAAUCUUGGAAAGAGUUUGCCAAAAUCUUGAUAUAAAUUGAGUUCUCUUAUCUGAUAUAAUAUCCUUGGAUAAUCCAUGAUAGCGAUAGAUAUUGUCAAGAAAGAGCUCAGUUAUUUCUUCACCUGUGAUAGAUUAUGUACAUGAUACAAAAUGUGCCAUCUUCGUAAAACGAUCUACUAUCACGAAAAUAGAGUCAUAAGAACUUGAGAUUCAAAGAUCCAUGAUGAAAUCCAUAGAAAUAGAAGAACAUGGUUGUUCUAGAAUGGAUAAUGGUUAAAAAAGUCCGUAAGGUCGAUGACGAGGAGUUUUUCAUCUUGAGCAAACAUCACAAGAUUGUACAAAAUCUUUGACUGCUUCCCACAUUUGGAGCCACCAAAAGUCUUUAGAUAUUAGUUCCAAAGUUUUAUUGAACCUAAAAUAUCUUGUUGUUGAAAAAUCAUGACAAGCUUGAAGAACACGUAAUCGAGCUUCAUCUUCUAGAAUAUAUAGGCGUCCCUCAAAAUAUAGUAGAUUCUUCUUGAAUUCAAACUUAGAAGUAUCAUGAGACUUUGAAGGAUUUUUCUUAAUAUCACGAAUAAGAGGAUCAGAAGACAUACUUGAUUGAACUUGCUUAAUGAAAGUUGAAUCAACAGUUAGUGUUGAUUUCAUUGCUCAAAGAUGAAGAUGCUCUAGCCUCAAGAGAAUUAUCUGUUGUUGAUCAAAAGAAACAUCUCCUUCCUUUGUUGCAAGAUAAGAUCGUCUAGAGAGUGUAUCUGACAAACCUUGAUGUUUUUUUGGUCGAUAAGUGAUCUUGAAUUUGAUUCUUGACAAAGACAUACUCCAACGGGCUUGGCGAUGAUUCAAAAUACGUACUAACAUAAAAUAUUCAAGGUUCUUGUGAUCUGUAUACACUAUAACUGGGCUAGAAGUACCUUCUAGAUAAUAGUGCCAUUCUUGAAAUGAAUCCACAAUUGGAAGAAGUUGUUUGUCGUGGAUCUCGUAUUUGAUCUCGGUAGCUGAAAAGUUUUUGGAAUGAAAAGCUAUUGGGUGAAAUUUAAUAUUAGUUCCCAUUUUUGAUAAUAUAUCACCUUAAGCAAAGUUUGAUGCAUCUUUUUUCAUAAAAAAUAGCUUAGAAAAAUUGACGCAAUACAAGAUUGGUGCAGAAACAAAGGUUGUCUUCAAAGCUUCAAAUGCUACUUUCACUUCUUGAUUCCUUUGAAGUUUGUCUUUGCAAGUCAAAUGUGUAAGUGGAGCUACAACUUGAGAGAAGUCUUUGAUGAAGAUCCGAUAGUAGUUGGUAAAUUUCAAAAAGCAUUGGACAUCUCUUACCAUUUUUGGAAUCUUCCAAUCUAUAAUAGUUUGAAGUUUCUUAGGAUCCAUCAUAAGUCCAUCAUUUGAAAUGAUGUAUUCUAAGAAGUCAAAUUGAAUAGUGUGAAAUACACACUUUUCUAUCUUGGCAUAGAGUCUUGUAUCUCUUAGUUUUAGUAAUACAUGACAAACAUGAAGUUCAUGUUCUUCUAUGUUCUUAGAAUAAAUUAAGAUAUUGUCUAGGUAACAGAUAAUAAAAUCAUCUAAAAACUCCCAAAAGACAUCAUUCAUUAGAUGUUGGAAUGCUGCUGGUGCAUUUGUAAGUCUAAAAGGCACGACGUUGUAUUCAAAAUGUCCAUACCUUAUUCGAAUCACCAUCUUCCAUUCAUCUCUUAUUUUGAUGUGUACCAAAUUGUAUGCUCCCUGUAGAUCUAUUUUUGUAUAGAUCUUAGCUUGAUUCAACUGAUCAAAAAGUCCUGAUAUAAAAAGUGGCGGAUGCCUAUUUUUGAUAGUGAUUUUGUUGAGUCCUCAACAAUCAACACACAUCCACAAUGAUCCAUUUUUUUUCUUUACAAAUAAAAUUGGAGCUCUUACUAGAGAUUUGGAAUGGUGUAUGAAGUUCUUGGCCAAAUUCUCUUCAAUAUACUUCCUAAAUUCAGCCAAUUCAUUUUGAAUUAAAUUAUAGAUUGGUCCAAAUGGCAGUUGUGCUCCUUCUUGAAGGUCAAUUGAACAAUCAUAGGAACGAUAGUGCGGAAGAGAAUCCGCAUUCUUCUUCUCAAAUACAUCUUGAAAAUCUUGAUUUUGGCUUGAAAUGCCACUUGAAGUCUUUCCACCAGUAGAAAGAAAUGUGGCAUAAAUGACACAAGGUGAUCCUUCUUUUGUAACAUGCAAGAAAGCUCUUACAUCUAUAAAUAUAGGUUUAAUUAUACUAGACUUAUGACUUUCUACUUGAUUAACUAUGCUCUUAAUUAUACUUUCAAAAAAGUCAAGACUAUGAGAAGUCCAAUUUAUUUUAGUAUUAUAUUUUUUUAGCCAUGAUAAACCUAAAAUGACUAGAUUACAAGGAGAUCUAAUGAUAUUAAAUAUUACAAAACUACUAUGACCAUUAGUUGUUAUUUCUAUAGGAAGGAUUUUAUGAGUAACAUCUCCUAAAGACAACGGACGACCAUCUAUGACUUCUACAUGAAUAGGUUUAGUUUUCUUUAUUAAAAAAAUGCUAUGUCUUUUAGCAAAUUUUUCAUUUAAGAAACAUGCUGAGGCUCCUGAAUCUAGCAAAGCAGAGGCUUUGAGAUGUUUAGGUCCUAGAAUAACAUUUAUCGGAAAAAAUGAAGAGGAUUCUCAGGAGAGAAUAGGACCUUCACUAGGUGUAUUACAAGGUUUCAGCCACAUAGUCCUGAUUGUAGCUGGACAAAUUCAUUUUUUGACAUACUAUCUCCUUUGAUCGCCGUACUCCUUAUUUCAUGGUUGCGUCGCUUCUUUAGGCAAUAUUGAGCAGUGUGCUUAGGUUCUCCAUAAUGUAAGUACAAUCUUCUGUGAUGAUGAUGAGUCUUUUCUUGCUCAAUAAGGAGUUUGAAACAUACUGCAUCAAUUUGCAUAUCUUCUACUUCCGAAUGUAUGUGUUGAAGAGAUGUUGGUGUUGCUAUUGAAUUAUAGUUACGUUGAGGUCUACUUGUACGGUUCUUAGAUCAAAAUUUAAAAAGGCAAAUGUAGCACUUCAUAGCAAAGUCAAUUGCUUGACUCAAUGUUUGAAGAUCAAGUAAGUUGAGAAUUAAUUUUUUUAACCUCAUAUUAUAAUUUGUAGAGAAAUUGGCUUAUAAGUGCAGCAUCAUCCCACUUGAAAUCAGUUGCAAGUUGUCAAAAUUGUGAACCAUACAACAUUAUUGAUCGAUUGCCUUAUCGUAAAAUAUGGAUCUUAUUGGUUGCAAUACGAAUUGUAUCAUGUUCUCCAUACAUGGAUCAAAACUCUGCCACAAAAGUCUCUAGAUUAUCCAAUAUUGGAUCUCGUCAUUUAAAAAAAGAUGAAAAAUAUGAUAAUGCUGAAUCUCAAAGAAGUGUACCAAUGAAUCUAACUUACGAUCUUGGAAUUGGAUAGCUUUGGAAUUGAAGUUCAAUUACAAGUUAUACUAGAUUGAUAAAUCUUCUAAACUUUGAUCUGGUGCCAUUAAACUUCUUAGAUAGGACAAUUCUUGGUUCUCUAAUACUAGAAGGGUGUUCCACCAUAGGAGAAGAGACAUGAUUUGGUGCAGAUGUUGAAGCAGCUCAAUCAUUUCUUUAUCUUCACUUCCUGCCAAUCUUGUUGCUCCUUGUGUGGUAAAUUGAAUUGAUGCAUUACAAGUAUUAAUUCCCUCAAUUGCUCUUACAUUUGUGCCAUUACAUUCUUCAUUUCAACAAGUUUUGCCAUGAUAACACUUAGAAAAGAGAAGAUGUCUAAUAUCACUUAAGACAAAUAAAAGAAAAGACUUGAGAACAAAGAAAAUACUAAAGAAAAUAUCAGUUUAGAAGAGGGUAAUCCGCAACUUCUAAUAUGCUUAUGUCUUAUCAAGAAAAAGAAGUAAUCUACUCUUAGUCAAGAUUAGACAAAGAUCUAAUAUUAUAAGUGUACUCUUGUCAAUCUGUGAAGGACAAAAAUAUGAUAAAGACAAAUAAAUAAGUGAGACUUCUCUGAAAAAAAGAUGAUAAAAUAGAAAUAAUUUGAUAUGUAUAUUAAGAAAGAAACUCGAAUGGCUAUUGCCAAAAGCCAAGAAAACUAGAAACCCUUGAAACUAGACUAAAAGCAAGAAAAGAGUUGACAGGAAUGAAGAAAGCUUCACUUUUGUCUCUAUAUAUACUAUCUAACUAAGGGCUACAUGGCGAUGUUCUAUAGGACUUGCAAUAUGUGUUGACUUUGUAGGACACAUGCCUUGACUUACAAGGUAAGUUUAUCUUUGUAUGGGCUACAUAGUUAACUUGGUCUUCAAACUAACAACAUGUGUGGCACAUGGUGAACUUGUUGACUACGUUUUUAAUCCCAACAAGUCAAUUAAAGACACCUAUAAAGUCAAAGCAGCGUCUAUGAAGAGUCUAGAAAGCUUCCAUACCAAAUACUAUAGAAUUAACUUACUUUUAUCUACUUUUAUUUACUUCUACCUAUUUAUACAUAUAAUUACUUGCUUCCAUGCAGAUGUCCGUGAUAAUUGCCAUGAAAAAGGAUUGUACUCAUAUUAUGGAGAAUCUAAGCAUAUUAUUCAACAUUAUCUAAAGAAGUAAUGUAAUUAUAAAAUGAGGAGUACGAAUGUCAAAAAAGAUAAUAUAUUAAAAAAUAAGUUUAUCAAGCUAUAAUAAGGACCAUAUGGCUAGAAUCUUAUAAAAUAUUUAAUAAAGAUUCUAUUCUCUUCUCAAAACUUUUUUUUACUUUAUAUUGAAUAUUAUUUUAGGACCUAAAUAUUACAACGCGUUUGCCUUGUGUCAAGGAUAUGAAUCUCGAAGAAAAAAAAUCCUCAAUAUACUCUUAUGUCAUUGAAAGGAACUAAAAAGUCACUCAAAGAUGAUAUAAUAUUAAACUAGAAUGGCUAUUGCCAUAAGCAAGAAGUUUUGAAAGUCUCGAAAUAAGACUAAGGACUAAAAAGACAUUGAUAAGAAUGAAGAAAGCUUUACUCUUGUCUCUUUAUAUACUCUUAAUUAGGAGCUAUGUGGCAAUGUCCUAUAAGACUUCCAAAAUAUGUUGACUUUGCUAGCCACAUGUUUUAACUUACAAAGCAAGUUAUCUAUGUAUGCACAACAUAGUUGGCUUGUUCCACAAGCUAUUAUAUGGAGUUAACUUAUUCUAUAAGCUACCAAUACAUGGUUAACUUAUUAGCCAAGUUUCUAACCUACAAAUACAUUUAAAGUCAAAACCACAUCUAUGAAGUUUCUAGGAAGCUUCUCUAGAAGACUUUAUGAAAUUAAUCCAUAUUUAUUUACUUCUACCUAAUCAUAUAAGUAACUAUUGGAGUAAAUGUAUGUGUCCAUGACACCUUGUUAGAUUCAAGAGCCUCAGUGUGUUUCUUAGAUGAAGAAUUUGCUAAAAGACUUAGCAUAUCUUUAGUGAAGAAAACUAAACAUGUUCAUAUAGAAGUCAUAGAUAGUUGUCUAUUAUCUUCUAGAGAUGUUAUCCAUAAAAUCUUUUCUAUGGAAGUAAUAAUCAAUAGUCAUAAUAGCUUUGUGGUAUUUAAUAUCAUUAAAUCUCUCUCUAAUCUAAUCAUUUUAAGCUUAUUGUGGUUAAAAAAAUAUAACCCUUAAAUAAAUUGGAUUUCUCUUAUUCUUAAUUUUUUUUAAAAUAUAACUAAGAGUAUUAUUGAUCAAGUAAAAAAUCACAAUUCUAGUACAAUUAAACUUAUGUUUGUAAGUGUAAGAGCUUUCUAACAUGCUAAAAAAAAAGAAUCACCUUAUGUCAUUUAUGCUACAUCCAUUUCUAAUUGUGCAAAGACUUCUAGUGGUAUUCCAAGUCAAUAUCAAGAAUUUCAAGAUAUAUUUGAAAAAAAAAAUAUGGAUUCUCUUCCAAUAUAUCAUUCUUAUAACUGCUCAAUUGGCCUUCAAGAAAGAGUACAAUUGCCAUUUGGACCAAUCUAUAAUUUAUCACAAAAUGAAUUGACUAAACUUAAGGAGUAUAUUGAAGAAAAUCUAAUCAAGAACUUCAUAUACCAUUCCAAAUUUCCAACAAAAUCUCUUAUUCUAUUUGUAAAGAAAAAAAAUAAAACAUUGCGGAUGUAUAUUGAUAAUCAAGGAUUUAAUAAGAUCACCAUCUAGAAUAGGUUUCUACUACUUUUAACAUCUAGACUUUUUGAUCAAUUGAAUCAAACUAAGAUCUAUACAAAAAUGGAUCUACAAGGAGCAUAUAACUUGGUACAUAUUAAAGAAGGAAAUAAAUCAAAGAUUGUAUUUUGAAUGAGAUAUGAAUAUUUUGAAUUAAAUGUCAUGCUUUUUAGACUUACAAAUAUAUCAAAAGCUAUUUAAGAUCUUAUGAAUGAUAUUUUUUGAGAGUUUUUGGACGAUUUUUUUGUUUGAUAUCUAGAUGAAAUCUUGAUCUAUUGUAAGAAUACAAAAGAACAUAAACUAUAUGUACAAUGUGUGUUAUAGAAAUUAGAAUGUAUUGAGAUUUUUACAUAUAAUAUAGCUCAUCAAGUCAACUUUUCAAUUUCACUUUUUGAUAUUUUAAAGCUUCUUUAUAACUCUUUAUAUGCAUAAAAUAAUAAUAAAUACCAAAAAUACACUUUAACUUCAAUCAACCAUAACUUUUUUAUUACUACUCCAAAUUAUAUGUUUUCUUUAUCUCAAUUCUAGGCCAAAAUAUAAGCUCUUCUAAUCUAGCCUUCACACUUUGAAUGGAUCAUCUUUCCUUGAAUGGUCUACCUUGCCUCAAAUAGGUCACCCUAAAGUGGUCCUUAAUUCUAGUAUAAUCUCAAUUAGCAUCUCAAAAUCUAUUUGGUAUGUCUUCUAACUAAAAUAAAUAAAUUCCUUUGUCAUUUAUCUUAUCUAUCCUCAUCAAAAAAUCUAAGAAUCAAAAUACUAUACCUUUGAUUCGUUAGCCCCUCUAAAUUUCUAAUUAAUAAAUUAUAUAACUUCUAUCUUUAAUUAUUAAGCUUAAACUACAAACUUUAACAAAUAAGAUAAAUAUUUUUUUAUUAUUUAUUUUUUUAAUUACAAUCCAAAUUCUCAUAAUAUUUUAUUUUAUUUUAAUAUAUUAUUCUACUUUUCAUGUGAUAAAGAAUUGCUUAAAGAUAUUAUAUCAAAUAAAAAGACUUAAUUUAUAUAAAGAUUUUGGAGAUCCCUUUUCAAGACUUUAAAAGUGGAUGUAAAGCUCUCUUUGGCUUUUCAUUUUCAAACUGAUAGGCAAAUAGAAUAGGUGAAUCAAAUUUUGGAGUAGUAAUUAUGGUGUACCAUCAACUAUCAUUAAGAUGAUAGGACAAUUUUUUUGCCAUUGCUAAAAUUUGUGUAUAAUAAUUUGAUACAUUCUUCCAUUCAAAAAACAUUUUUUUUAUCAAUUAUGGUUAUCAUCUACAACUUGAUACUUUUCACUUUUCAAAAGUUGAUAAUAUUGCAACAAAAGAUUUUACAAAUUAUUUGUUAGAGAUACAUACAAUAAUGUAGGCACAAUUAAAAAAUAAUAGAGAUUAAUAUACAUGCCUAUCAUAAAGAACAAUCAUAAUUCAACGUAGGUGAUAAGAUUUAAGUAUUUUGAUACAAUAUGAAGAAUACUCAUCUUUAUGAUAAGUUGGACUAUCAAAGGCUUGGACCUUUUUUUAUCAAUAAAAAAAUCAAUCAUAUUAUUUAUAAAUUAUAUCUACUAAAGUCUAUAAAAAUCCACCCUGUAUUUUCACUUAUCUCUUUUUUAGCCAUAUAAGACAGUAAAGAUUUCAAAAAGAAGACAAAUGCCACCUCCUCUUAUAGAUGUGGAUAAUAAUAAAAAAUUUGAGGUGGAAGAAGUCUAAGAUUUAAGGUGGUGCCAAAAUAGGUUGGAAUAUCUUAUUCAUUGGCAUGGAUAUGAUAUCAAUGAAUACAUAGGAAAGCUAAUAAAGAAUCUUACAAAUGCAGCAAAGAGAGUUGAAGCUUUUUAUUGAUAACAUCCCUCAAAACAAGGAUGAAGAUUAACAAAUCUUUGCUAUAAAAGAAACAAGAUCAAAGAAAGAUAAUACUAUACCUUCUAUCUUUCUUUGUAGCUUCUAUAUAUUUGUGAUGCUAAAGAGAUGGAGAUCCAAUAGCCAAUAGAUUCAACUCAAGAGCUUUUAUUUGCAGACUUGUUAAAUAAGACAUUGCAAUUGUUACAACCUUCUAGACAAAAAAAAUUGAGAUGAAGAUCUUCAAGAACGACAUAUCUUUUGACAAAUAGAUGAUAAGAUACAAUGUAUUUGUUAUCACGACCUUAGAAGAGACUCCUAAUGUUUGAUGAACUUAUUAGAGAUAGGAACAACUCCUAAAAGUGUUUCAAAUAUUUUAUUUGAACAAAGUUAUAAAGACCUCAAUAACAACCAAAUAAGAGGGUGGUCUUCUUGUCUUAGUGUGAAAGACUUUUGAUGGCUAAGAGGACCUAUCAACUAUCUUCAAAGAGAACAAAGAUCAAAGUAUGUGACAAAUAUAAUUUACUGCUUGUUAGAUUUUUUCAACAUUUGAAACCUAAUGUCAUAUUAUAAAUACUUAUAAUAUGUAAAAAUUAGUUAAAACAUAUUUUAUGUUCAUAAUUCUUGAUAUGUAUUAGAAUGGUUAAUAAAUUAAUUUAAAGAAAGUGGAUAUAUAAAACUUUAUUUUGAAUAUUAUCUAUUUUUAUUAUAAUAUUUAAAUUAUAUAAUAUUUAAAUGUUUAAUAUAGAGCUUUAAGAGAAGAUUGAACCUAAGGAUGAAAAUUUAAACUACUAGAAGGCUCAUAGAGAGGAAUGAAAUCAAGGCAUAGUCAAAUGAAGGCAAAAGGUAAAGAUCUUUAUUCCUAUUAGUAGAAGGCCAUGUCCAAUGGACAUUCAGCAAGCUGUACAUAUCCAUAACAAAGGUUUUGGCAACCUCAAAAGAAAAAUUUGAGAAUCAAAACCAAGAUUUGUAAGAUUAAGGGUUUGAA
rnacentral:lncRNA from 1 species